rnacentral:lncRNA from 1 species
GGAUUUGGGCUGAUGAGUGGGGCUGGGGGACAGAAAAGGUGGUGAAAGGGAAGGAGAUUGCAAAGAAAAUCAAAGAGAUGAUGAGCAAUGAGUCUUUGAGGGUCAAAGCUGGAGAAAUGAAGGAGGCAGCAAAGAAGGCUUGUGUCGUUGGUGGGAGUUGUGAGGUUAUCAUUAAGAGACUAAUUGAGGAGUGGAAGAAGAAUGCUCAAGUCACCUGAGCAUUACCACUCAAUACUAUUUUGCCUAUUCACAAUAUUAAGUUAAGUUUAAGUGUGAAUUUGAAUUUCUGUUAGAAAAUAAUACAGUAGUAACAUCUAUUGCAUAAAGUAGUAUGCAAACAUAUACUCAAACUGUAAUUUAUGGUUACAUUUCCAAUUUGGUUGAGUGUUGGUGUUUAAUGCUUUUUAUUUCUUUGUUACAAAAUAUUCUGAGGGUGUGGAAAUUUAUCAGAAUCCGAAAUGUUUUAAGGUUUAAAUAGUGUUUAAUUGGUACAUAUCCACUUUAUUUCCUUUAGAUUUGCAAUUCAAGUAAUAAUUUUCAUGAUAAUUUAAAAAAAAAUAUGUAUAACAAAUCAUUUUAAAAGUAUAUAUCAAAAUAUUCAUUGUUGGAUGCAGAGGGUUGAGGUUGAAGUCUAUCUACUUGGCGAGGAAAAGAAGAACAAAGCAAGAGAUAUGGUUUGACUAAAGAAGAGAGUGUGGGUUUUGGUGUGAUGAAAGUGACUUUGCAACCAUAAUGAAGAAACAAUGCUGCUAUUCUGAGAAAUGGUUGAGGUGAACCAUAUCAGCUCUUGGAGGGAAAGCCACCUGAACAACAGGUUCAGAAGCAGGCAUUCUUUUGUUUGUAUGUAACUCAUUUAGACAACCAUUAGCAGUAACUAACAACCAUAAUAGUAGUGUUUAUUCUUCAAAGGAAAAUGCUUCUACGAAUAAAAUUUUCUUAGCGUAAAUAUAUUUUUAGGAGUUGACAUUCUUAGUUAAGAUUUUCUUACAAGAAAAUAACGACAAACAGAAACUAGAAACUUUAAAAAGACUCAAAAUAGAAGACACCUUGUUUAUUUGUUAUGUGUAGUUCAGUACAUGGAACUCAACUUGAGAAUAAUCUUGUAAGAAAAGUGCAAGUAGUGCAUUACACUUUACACACACUAAGAUUUGGAUAUUCAACGUUUAGGAUGGAACCCUCUGGAACUGCACUUUGUCUGGCUCAGAAGUUAGAGCUAAACGAUUACCAUAUUGAUCCUGAUAUAUUCCAAUAUCACUGCAUGGAUAGUUGCAAUAAUUGCACACACUUGGACAAUAAACCAUCUUGUAAGCAUCCUCGUACUUCUCAAUCUUGAACCAGUUGCUGAUGGUUUGAGAGCCAGGGUUGCCCAAAACACCACCAGUUGUUGUGACAAACCACUGUUAUGUUGAAUAAUCAUAGUCCUUAAGCUUCCACACUGUGGACUGUGGGCAACUUGUGCAGGUGGAGAAAUAGAUGUUGAGAUCAGUGGAAACGCAAAUCACACCUUUCUUAUCAUUAGCAGGUACAAAGCUCAAUUGCUUGCCUUGGUAACCAUCAACAGCUACAACAUCAAGAGGGCAAUUUUCACCUGUGACUAAGAGAGAAAGGCCACCUACAUCAGAUGAUGCUGGAACAAUGUAGUAAUUGUCACCAGCUCACCUUCUUCCCUGAUGUAUCCACAAUUUGCUCUGGUGCAGGACCUGCUUCUCCAACUGGUGCGUUGGUGCUCAAAGCAACCACUAGGACCAAUGUUACCAAUGUCAUCUUCAAUUUUCUGUGUUUAAUUUUUUUCUUCUUGUAACUCUUGUGAGAUGGAUAUGGAAGAAGAGGAAGAUUUACAUUUAUAUUAGCCGGGGAUGGAUCUAAAUCUAUGUACCCAUGUGCACCAAAGUCAUGGAUUUCUUCUCAUACAAUUGGCUUGUAUAUAAAGGUUCAAUUUUGUCAAAAAAAUUGUGUAGUUCACAAUGCUGUGAUUGACUAGAUUUAUAAGUUUCUGGUGAAGUUGUUGUUUGGUUUAUAUUCAAUCUUUCAGAGCCUAACUUCUUACACCAUGUUUAAGACUAGAGUGAAAAUGCUUGGUCUGUUUAGGAUGUAAAGUAAAAAGAAGCACAUAGAUUAGUGCAUUUCCAUUUUUUAAGCUCUGUAUUGUGAGAUUAAUGAAUAUCUUGCUUUACUCUUUUCUUUUCUUUAGCUUCAUUGUUCUUUUCUUCAAAUUUAUGCAGAUGGGGCAGAAAAAGAUGUUCCAGAAUCAAUAAUCAAAUAUUUUGUCUCCCUAACCCAGAACUCCAACUUUUUUGCAGAAAACCCAUAAUUCAGCAAAUUGUACAUGCAGUAUAUUUUAUGAGUAAAAAUCACUAAGCCUGCAGUUUUUUACAUUCCUUUAUCAUAGUCUUGUUUUAGCUUUUACAAUAACUAGUUAUAAUAAUAUUUUAUUGACUGAUAAAAUAAUUUUUAGAAAACCAGAAGAUCAUGUGGGGAGGUAUUUCUAGAAAACAAAAAUGUUCAAUAUUUUGGUUUACAGUAACAGAGUAUUAAUUUUGGUCUCUGUAAAAUAUUUUCUUUGAUUUUCAUCUCCAAAAUUUUCAAUCUCUAUUAUUUAUUUUUUGAUACGUGAAUAACAUUUAUUUUAUGAAUUAUAAGAUUCUUUUUUUCAAGUAACACACAUUAUUGUAUAACAUUACUAAUAUAUUUCACUUUAAAUACUUAUUUAACCUGUUAGUUAAUUAAUGUUACAUAAUAUAAAGAUAAAAUAUAUAUAUAUAUAUAUAUAUAUAUAUAUAAAUUUCGAUAACGUAAGUAUUGAUGCAAUCAUAGUAAUAAAAGAGGAAAUAAAAGAAAAAGAGAGAAAUACAUCAAACUUAAUUUUUGAAUGAUAAGAAUUUGAGAUCUCCACAUGAAAUAUUUUUUUUUAUCAGCAAUAACAUAUAUAUAAAUGCGAAUCACUUUAGGAGUGGAUCAACCAUUAUAUAAUAAAUACAUAAUCCAACUUCUAACCGUACCCUCCAAACUAAAUAGACAAAAACACAGUCCACUCUAAGAAAUGCAUGCUUCUGUAGAAAGAAUUUGAGAUCUCCAACGUCUUUUAACAUGAAAUGCUUGUGUAGAAAAGCUUUUGUUUGUAAAAUGACAUCAUUGAUGAUAAUGACAUUCACAUAUAUAAAAUUUGAAUUGUUCCUUUAGUGAAUUUGAAAUAAUCAAACUUAGAUUGUUUGUAAUCAUGAGAAAGUAAGGUAGUGCUGAAUUUGGUAAACCAACUCCUAGAAUCAUAUUCAUGAACAUGUAUAGAUUUGUUGUGUUUACAAAUAACAAAAGCUAGAGUGAUAUUUAUGAUAUUGUGUUUAUAUCCUUGAGGAAUUUGCAUAAAGAUUUCUUCCCUAAGGUUACCAUUGAAAAGAAAUAUUAUUGACGUCUAACUACUUUAGAUAUUAAUGUUGAGAUGCACCAAAGGACAAGAGUUGACAUCUAACUACAAAAUUAUUGACAUCUAACUACAAAAUAAUUAAAUAAAAAUUAAUUUUAAAGAUAAAAAAUAUUUAAUUGUUAUAUUUAUUAAAUUAAAUAUUAUAAUUAUAAAGAUUAUUGGUAUCUAAAUUAACUUCUAUCAGUGAUAAAUAAUUUUUAAAUUGAUAUAUAAUUAGAUACCAAGAUUUUAGAUGCUAACUUUAUAGUCUAAAUAAUUGAUAGUUAAAAUCUAGGUAGCUAAUUAGAUAUCAAUUUAAAAAUUAUUUAUAAAGAAUAUAAACUAAUUUAGGUACCAAUAAUUUUUUUAGUAUCUAAAAUAAUAUCUAAUUUAGUCAAUAUAAUAAUUAAUUAUCUUUUAUCUCUAAAACUAGUUUUUAAUCUUCAUUGUAGUGUGUCAUUCUAAUUAGUUAGGUAAAAGGGGAGUGAUGCUAAUUUUUUUUUUAUAUUAAUCUUAAGAAAUUUAUGUGUGUUUUAUUAGUUUUGUUUAUUUUCAAACUAUACAUUUUUUAUGUGUUUCAAUGAGACUUCUCUAUAAAGAUUUAUUACGGUUUGUAUUGUUUGCCUAAUUUCAAGCAACUUCAUUUUUUAUGUCUUUUUAUCUGACUUCUCUACCAAAAUUUAUUACUUUUUGCUUCGUUGCCUGAAUUCCAGUAACUUGAAUUUUUAAUGCGUCUCAAUUUUAACUUAUGUAUUAAAAAUUACUGUUUGCUUCAUUUAAUGAAUUCCCGCAACUUGCAUUUUUCAUUCGUCUCAAUUUUGUUUUAUGGAUUAAAAAUUAUAUUAGUUUCUCUGUUGUUUGAUUUCAAGAAACAUUCAUUUUUCAACCCUCUCAACAUCACUUAUAUAUCAAAAGUUAGAACUAUUUGCUUCGUUGUCAAAUUUCAAGAAACUUUCAUUUUCUAUGCUUCUAAAUCCGACUUCUCUAUCAAAAGUUAUGAAUUUACUUUGUUCUCUAAUUUCAAGAAUUUUUCAUUUUUUAUGUGUCUCAAUCUUACUUAAUCAAAAUUCAUUCUCUGAUUUCAAGCAACUUUUAUUUCUUAUGUCUCUCAAUGAGACUUCUCUAUAAAAAGUUAUUACGGUUAAUUUCAAACAACUUUCAUUAUUUGUGCCUUUCUAUCUGACUUCUCUAUCAAAAGCUAUUACUAUUUGCUUCGUUGCUUGAAUUCCCGAAAUGUGCAUUUUUCAUGCGUCUCAAUUUUGUUUUCUACAUUAAAAAAUAUAAUAGUUUGCUAUGUUUCCUGAAUUCCCACAACUUCUAUAUCAAAAGUUAAAACCAUUUGCUUCAUUGUCGAAUUUCAAGAAACUUUCACUUUCUAUGCUUCUUAAUUCGACUUCUCUAUCAAAAGUUAUGAAUAUUUACUUUGUUUUCUAAUUUCUGGCAUUUUUCAAUUUUUAUACGUCUCAAUCUAACUUCUAAAUCAAAACUUCUGACUAUUUUGCUUCAUUCUCUUAUUUCAAGAGACAUUUCUUUUUUAUGUGUCUCGAUGAGACUUCUCUAUAAAAAGUUAUUAUGAUUUGCUUUGUUUGCCUAAUUUCAAUCCACUUUCACUUUUUAUACCACUCUAUUCUACUUCUCUAUCAAAAGCUAUUAUUGUUUGCUUUGUUGCCUGAAUUCCCGCAACUUGCAUUUUUCAUACGUCACAAUUUUGACUUUUGUAUUAAAAAUUAUAAUAGUUUGCUUCAUUGCUUGAUUUCAAGCAACUUUCAUUUUUUAAGCCUUUCAAUAUCACUUCUUUAUCAAAAGUUAUAACCAUUUGCUUUGUUGUCGAAUUUCAAUAAACUUUCAUUUUCUACGCGUCUCAAUCCAACUUCUUACUCAAAAGUUAUGAAUGUUUCCAUUGUUGUACAAUUUCAAACAUUUUUCAUUUUUUAUGCGUCUCAAUUUGACUUCUUAAUCAAAACUUAUGACUGUUUUGCUUCAUUCUAUGAUUUUAAACAACUUUCAUUUUUUAUGUUUCUCAGACUUCUCUAUAAAAAGUUAUUACGGUUUUCUUUGUUUGCAUAAUUUCAAACCACUUUCAUUUUUUAGGCAUCUCUAUUCGAUUUCUCUAUCAAAAGUUAUUACUUUUUGUUUCGUUGCCUGAAUUUCAGCAACAUGCAUUUUUCAUGCAUCUCAAUUUUUCAAGCAACUUUCAUUUUUCAAGCCUCUCAGUAUCACUUCUUUAUCAAAAAAAGUUAUCACCAUUUGCUUUGUUGUCGAAUUUCAAGAAUCUUUCAUUUUCUAUGCGUCUCAAUCCGACUUUUGUAUCCAAAGUAAUGAAUGUUUACUUUGUUGUCUAAUUUCGGGCAUUUUUCAUUUUUUGUGUGUGUCUUAAUCUGACUCUUCAAUCAAAACUUAUGAUCGUUUUGCUUCAUUUUCUCAUUUUAAACAACUUUCAUCUUUUAUGUGUCUCAGUUAGACUUCUCUAUAAAAAGUUAUUAUGGUUUGUUUUGUUUGCCUAAUUUAAAACCUCUUUCAUUUUUUAUGCCUCUCUAUCCUACUUCUCUAUCAAAAGGUAUUACUGUUUGCUUCGUUUCCUGAAUUCUAGCAACUUGAAUUUUUCAUGGAUCUCAAUUUUGACUUCUCUAUUAAUAUUAUAACAGUUUGCUCCAUGGUCUGAUUUCAAGAAACUUUCAUUUUUUAAGCCUUUCUAUCUGACUUCUCUAUCUAAAGUUAUAACCAUUUGCUUUGUUGUCGAAUUUCAAGAAACUUUUAUUAUCUAUGUCUAUCAACCCGACUUUUGUAUCAAAAUAAUGAAUGUUUACUUUGUUGUCUAAUUUUAGGUGUUUUCUUUUUUUAUGUGUCUCAGUCUGACUUCGAAAUCAAAACUUAUAACUGUUUUGCUUCAUUCUCUGAUUUCAAGCAAAUUUCAUUUUUUGUGUCUGAAUGAGAUUUUUCUAAAAAAAUUUAUUAUAGUAUGCUUUGUUUGCCUAAUUUCAAACCACUUUCAUUUUUUAUGCCUUUGUAUCCGCCUUUUCUAUCAAAAGCUAUUUUUGUUUGCUUCGUUUCCUGAAUUCCAACAACUCCAUUUUUCAUGCGUCUCAAUUUUGACUUUCAUUUUAAAAAUUAUAAAAAUUUGUUUUGUUGUCAGAUUCCAAGCAACUUGAAUUUUUAAGGCUCUCAAACUCACUUCUUUAUCAAAAGUUAUAACCAUUUGCUUCGUUGUUGAAGUUCAGGAAACUUUCAUUUUCUAUGUGUCAAAAUCCAACUUUUUGUAUCUCAGUUAUGAAUGUUUACUUUGUUGUCUCAAUUUGACUUCUCAAUCAAAACUUAUGAUCGUUUUGCUUCAUUCUAUAAUUUCUAGCAACUUUCAUUUUUUAUGUGUCUUAAUGAGACUUCUCUAUAAAAAUUUAUUACAGUGUGCUUUGUUUGCCUAAUUUCAAACUAUUUUCAUUUUUUAUGCUUUUGUAUCUGACUUCUCUAUCAAAAGCUAUUUUUGUUUGCUUCGUUUCCUGAUUUCCAGCAACUUGCAUUUUUCAUGCGUCUCAAUUUUGACUUUUAUAUUAAAAAUAAUAACAGUUUGCUUUAUUGCCUGAUUCCAAGCAACUUGAAUUUUUUAAGUCUCUCAAUUUCACUUCUUUAUCAAAAGUUAUAACAAUUUGCUUUGUUGCUGAAGUUCAGGAAACUUUCAUUUUCUAUGUGUCUCAAUCCGACUUUUGUAUCAAAGUUAUGAAUGUUUACUUUGUUGUCUAAUUUAGGGCAUUUUUCCUUUUUUAUGCAUCUCAAUUUGACUUCUCAAUCAAAACUUAUGACCGUUUUGCUUCGUUCUCUGAUUUUAAGCAACUUUCAUUUUUUAUAUGUCUCAGUGAGACUUCUCUAUAAAAAGUUAUUGCGGUUUGCUUUGUUUUCCUAAUUUAAAACCACUUUCAUUUUUUAUGCAUCUCUAUCUAACUUCUCUAUCAAAAGCUAUUACUAUUUGAUUCGUUGCAUGAAUUCCAACAACUUGCAUUUUCAUGCGUCUCAUUUUUUACUUAUGUAUUAAAAAUUAUAACAGUUUGCUGUGUUGUCUGAUUUCAAGCAACUUUCAUUUUUCAAGUCUUUCAAUUCCACUUCUCUAUCAAAAGUUAUAACCAUUUGCUUCAUGGUCGAAUUUCAAGAAACUCUCAUUUUUUGUGCUUCUCAAUCCGACAAGGCCCCACCAAACUUAAGAAGGACCUCAGCAGAAGAAGAACUAGACAUAGGACAAAACCUCAAAUGUUCUUUCUUCUAGUCUUUUUAAAAGAUAAGUUUAUGUAAAUAAAUUGGGCUCACUUGGAGGGUCCAAAUAGGAGAAUAGCUAGAGUAGGGCUCACUUACCAUAAAUUGGGGUGUACUUAGCGUAAAUUGGGCUUGUGCCAAACCUACCUUUCAUGACAAGUUCUUCUAAGUUUAGGGUUUCUUUGACCUACCUUCUAGAAGGUUUCUCACAAAUGACACUCAUAAACCCUAACCCAAAACCCUAAAAUUUCACACAAUUGAAAUUGAAUAGAAAAUAAGUUGUUUGAGUGUUUAGUGAGCUUUGUCUCCUAAAGUUCUUGAGUCUUAUCUUGAGCGUGCAACACCUCAAGCGGCGGCUCCUUCACCACUCAUCUUGGAGUACCUCCUUCUCCAAGUGGCUUGACAACCUUCUUUCUUCCAUAAGCUUUCUUCAUCUCUUCCUCUUUUUAUCUUUCUUUUUGCAUCAUCCAUUCCAUUCAUCUUUAUGAUAUCAUGCUUGUCUUUUAAUUUUGGUUAUCAGUUGUCUUGGAUGCUGAGAUGACUGACUUAAUUGUGAAGUGUAUGUUAGUCACUCUAGAUAGGGUUUCUUGGAGUGCAAGGUAUGCUGGAACAGUGUUUUUCAGCAGUGUUUGUUGAAGUUCUUGAAGGGUUCAAGAGCUACUGUGUAUGCUGUAAUUGUUUGUAUCUGUUUUAGUGGAUUCUGUUGGGUUUAAUAGUGCCAAAGUUCAAGAGGGGGGGUGAAUUGACCUUUUAAAAUUUUCUCGCAGAACCAGUGAUUAACACAGUUUUACAGAAAAUAAAUCAAUUUAUGUAAAAAUGAACAGAUUUAUUUCAGCACUGUUUUUGUUUGAAAAGCUUUUAAUACAGCAAGAUUAAUCACAAGAUUAUGCAGAUAGAUUUUCCAGAUGCACAGACACAGAUAUCAGAUUGAAAAACAGUAAAACACAGAAAACAACAAACCUUAAUUCCAAUUAAUGUGAUUUAGAUUCAGUUAAGGGCUUGACAAUUUGUGAGACAAUCUAUCACAUACAACCUGUUUUAUUAGCCUUUAACAGAUUAUCAGUGUUCUUAUUGAAACCAGACAGUUUUCCAGAAAUUAAGAACAAUGUGCACAGCGCCCAGAAAGAACAGAUUUAUUUUCAAUUGAACAGAUUUAUUUCUUUACUGUUUUGUCAAUUAUGCAGAAACGAAAUUGCAGUGAGUGAGAGAGAAUGAACACAAGCAGUUAUACUGGUUCACUCAACUGAGCUACAUCCAGUCUUCACCAACAACAGGUGGAAAUCACUAAAACACAGUACAACCAAGUACAAUUCCCACUGUUCUUGAAACCUACAAGAACUUAGGUACUCUUGCUGAAAAAACCUAUUUCAGCACACACACACCCACUCUUCAAGAACACCUAUCAAGAAGAGUGUUCAACCAAACUAUUACAAGAAAUGAGAAGUGAAACGACUACACCUGAUUGAGGAUACAAAGAUCUGCCUUAAACCAGUAGGCAAGAUUGCUAGAACAGUAACUGCACCUCACACCAAGCUUUUGGAACCAAACCAAGAACAAGCACUUUUUUAUUUUUGAAAUCUUUGAAGAACAAAUGCUAAUCCUUUGUAAACUUUUAAUCCUCUGCUGUCAAAACUUGUUUUUGCAAAUGUAUGAACCGUUUGAAUGAGUAUUAAACUCAGAAACAAGUUUGCAUUUUAUAGAAAACCAACUUAUAACAGAUUUUUGAAAAACAGUUAAAGCUAUUAUAAAAUGAACAGAUUGAAAAUAAAAUGAACAGAUUUAUUUUCAAAAGCAGUUAGAGAAUUUGUUAAGUGAGGAGACUUUAGUCAACCAUUAUGGUGCUGAGAUAAAACUGAAAAUCGUUUAAGCUUGACAUGGCACCAGAGACAAAAAGAAUCUAUUCAUUUACAGAUGAACAAAUUUAUUUUUCAAAACGAAAACAGAGAAAGUUUAACUAUUUAAAACUCAGUCGUUUUGAAAGAUAGAAGACUUAGUCAAAAUACAUGAUGCACAAAAUCUAAUUUUUCCAAGACUUAGCCAAGGCAUCAGUGUAAAAAUGAAUCUGUUUAUUUAGAAAAGAACAGAUUUAUUUUUAUGCAGUAAACGUGUUUUUUUGUAAAACAUGUGAAAAACAGUUUAAGAAAACUUAUGCUUGUUCUUAUCACAUGGCCAGUGGCUAUGAGGUGAGUUACUCAGCAAAAAGCCCACUCUUAGACAACCUCUAAGCACUACCUAAGACACACUUAAAACAAAGCAAAAUACAAAUGAAAUGUACAUAAUAAGUCUUCAUCAAACACAAUCUUGAAGGAGCAGCAACCAUCUUCAACAGAUUCCACCUAAGAGUAAGGUGAACUGGAUGUAGCUCUUGAUGAGUGAACCAGUAUAAAAACUCUCUUGUCUUUCUCUUCUCAUCCCUACACUUGUUUCUGGUUUUUGCUUAAUUCUGUCAAGAACGAAAUCUAUUCGUUUGAAAUCAAAUCUGUUAAUUAUGGAUUUAAUAAAAACUGUUCUUCUUAAUCUGAACAAAAUUCUCUAAUCAUAAACAAAGCUUUUGAAUAUAAGUUUGUAAUUGAAUUAAGAACCAACAGGUUUCUUCAUAAAAAUCAUGUAAAAGAUUCAUUGCCUAUAAACACUUGUGUUGAAUAAAUUGGAUUGUUCUUUUAGUAUAGUGUGUGUUCUUCAAUACUUUUAAAAGUGAACCAAUCUGAUUUGGCUAUUUUUCACUAUUUGAUCUUAAUCCCAAUCUGGUGUAGUUGUUAGACUGUUUUGUAAAAAUCAAUCUGUUCAUUCUAAAAUCAAUCUGUUCUUUUACCCCUGAUAUACUGAAAACAGCUUGUGGUUGCGAAAACUUUAUAUGUUCAAUUCACCCCUCCCCUCUUGAACUUAGACAUUAAUAGACCCAACAAAAUCAUGUAGCCAUGUGUAUCUAUAUCGCUUACUAUGUGUAAACAUUAUAGGCAUCAAUGUUCUUUGUGUUCUUAGCUUUUUAUUUACAACUAGCUGGAAGCCAUUUUUUUCAUCUCUAUAGGUGAUGGAUAGGUUUUGAAGAACUACAUGUUUUCUUAUUGAUUCUAUCUUCUGUUUUCUCAUGUAGUUCAUUUACUUGACAUGCAAGAAAUGCAAGAAACUUGAAUUAUCUUUUGGUAACCAUAAUCUCUUGUGUUUUCUUGGAUUUUUAGGUGAUUCUUGCUGGUCAAUUCAGACCCCUGUCCUCAAUCAAAUCUUGCAUUUCAACUGUACCAUGCUGACUAAUCUUUAAGAGAGAUUUUUCAACCAACAAAAGACUAUGAUGUUUCAUGCUGUCAUCAUAAAGAGCAGGAAGCAUAUGUUCAAUCUUCUGUCAAAUUUUACAUAAUUUCAAGCAACAGCCAAUGUCAACAAAAACAUUAUUCUCUUCUCUAACCCAUAUUUGGUUGAUUCUUCUCUAACAUUAUGAAGAAAUAUGAGUCAUCAAAACGGGAAGUAAUAAAAUUAUAAACUGAUAGAGCAAGUGUUGUUUUUCCCUAUCCCACUGGAUCCCUAUCAGAACACCAGCAUCAUCAGAUCCUAAACACAUGAUAUUUCAUUUGAAAAAGCUUGAAUGAAUUUGAUGUUUUAAUUUUGUAUGAAUAAAUUAUUGUGUGAUUUAGUUCAGUUUCCAUUUUGCUCUUGAAUUGUUUAAUUGUCACUAAUUUUUUUGCUCUUGAAUUGUUUAAUUGUCACUAAUUUUUUUACAUGGCAAAGUUCCAAAACAAAGUUAUUAAGUAAGAAGUUUGUUUUGCAAUUAAAAACUACAUGCUCCAUCUCCAAUAUCAUUAAUGAAAUCCAUCUAAUAAUAUACUUUAUUUCUAAUAUGACUGUCUCUUAUUUUGAUAAAUUUAAACUCAUAUUUGUAUGUUUCAUUGAUGUAAAAAACUAUGCAGUUAUGUUACCAUGCAUAUCCACAUUCUUCUUCAACCAUGUAAGAAUUAAGUACGUAAAUCAUUCACCAUGUCCCACUUUCCACACAUUUUUUUUUUUCUAUGCAUUUCACUUCAAAUAUAUCCAACCAAACAUGAAGAGUACAACCAUUUUCUCAACCUCCAAAUUCAGUUCAAUAGUACAUAUACCUAACCAAACAUAACUAUAAUAACCAAACACAACGACAGUGAAUAAAGAAAGAGUCUUCUAUUUGGAGUCUUUUUAAAGUUUCUAGUUUCUCCUUGUCAAUAUUUACUUCUAAGGAAAAAUCUUUCCUAAGAUGUAAACUCCGAUUUUAUUACAUUAUACCAAAUUUGGUAAUGUAACCAAAUUACACUAAACCAAACACCCAAAAUAAACACUAAACCAAAUUGGAAAUGUAACCACAAAUUACAGUUUGAGUAUAUGUUUGCAUACUAUUUUAUGCAGUUGAGGUUACUACUGCAUUACUUUCUGACAUAAAUUCAAAUUCACACGUAAACUUAACUUAAUACUGUGAAUAGGCAAAAUAGUAUUGAGUGAUAAUGCUCAGGUGACUUGAGCAUUCUUCUUCCACUCCUCAAUUAGUCUCUUAAUGAUAACCUCACAACUCCCACNNNNNNNNNNNNNNNNNNNNNNNNNNNNNNNNNNNNNNNNNNNNNNNNNNNNNNNNNNNNNNNNNNNNNNNNNNNNNNNNNNNNNNNNNNNNNNNNNNNNNNNNNNNNNNNNNNNNNNNNNNNNNNNNNNNNNNNNNNNNNNNNNNNNNNNNNNNNNNNNNNNNNNNNNNNNNNNNNNNNNNNNNNNNNNNNNNNNNNNNNNNNNNNNNNNNNNNNNNNNNNNNNNNNCUCAGUUAUUGAGUUCCACCCUCCAUGACUCACAAACCCCCCCACUGCAGGGUGCCCCAGAAUCUUGAUCUGAUCCACAAACUCCUUCACAACCACACCCUUUUCCCUCACCUUACUCAUCAACUCACUCCCCAACACCUCCUCCAAACCCUCCUCCUCUUCUAUGUCAACCUUCUUCAACUUCACCACCCACAAAAAACUAUACCCGCAUUCUGUUAACCCCAAAGCCAUGUCCUUUAUCUGCUCCUUCCUUGUCUCAGUCCUGCUCCCCAAGCUAACAUACACCACAGACCCUUCAGCUUGUUCAUCAAGCCACUCCAGUAUCCAACUCAUGCAACCCCUUUGACCUUGAUCUACACUCUCAAACUCACACGCCAUUAAGGGGCCAAUUCCAUACACCGGGGGCAACCCUCUAACCACUUUUCCUUCAUUCAACGCUGCUAGUGCCUCUCCUUCCAGUUCCUCAAACGAGUUGAUGAAAACCCCAUCGAGCUUCGUGAGUUUGCAACUGUCCUCCAUGAUCAUUCUCUGAAAGGAGUUGCCACCUUGAAGAAGAAAAGCGGGAGGGACCGAUGAUCUUGGUAUUGGCGAUGUGAAACCCGGGAUUUGAACAGCAUCACCAACGAACGUAGAAGGGUGCGGUUGUGCAGCCGGAUCGGAAUCAGCAAGAACAGAAACGUAAGGAACACUGCUGCUAGUCUCAGACAUGGAUUGAGGUGACCCAUGCCAGCACUUGAGAGGAAACCCACAUGAACAGCAGCUUCAGGAACAGACAUUUUUUGUUGUGUUGGAUCCCAGAAUAGUAAGUGGUUGCUGUUGUGUGAUCAAGGAAGAGAAGAAGUUAGUUAAAAAUCUAAUCUUUACCAAACUCCUCAAAACUAUUAAAAUUUUAAUUGUUUAUGGACCUACCACCAAACUCUCCAAAAAAAAGUAUUAAUAGUUUAAUUGUUUAUGGACCUACCACCAAACAGUUUAUGGAUAUUGUGAUAUGUUGAAGUUAAAAUUUGGGUAUUUUUUUUUUUUUUAGUUUUUAUCUGUAUUUGCAAAUUUUUUUUAGGUGGAGUUGAGUCAAUCCUAGUUCGGUUGAAGUCGAAGUCGAGUCGUACUAAGUCCAUAUCGAGUUGAGUUGGUCUUGGUUCAGGACUAGUCGAGUCGAUCUAGAUCUAGAUCUAGUCGAGUCAGUCUAGAUCCAAGUCGAGUCGACUUCAAUCUAUGUCAAACCAAAUCAUUCUAUGUCAAGAUCGAGAUGGAUUUAAUCUAAUUGAUAAAGUGAAUUUAAUCUAUAUUUAAUUUUUUUAAAUAAAUUUAAAAAAAUCUAAAUAACUUUGAUCUUGUUAAAAUGGAUUUGAAUUUUAAAUCCAAUCCAUUUUAUUGGAUUUAGAUUUGAUUUUGAAAAAUCCAAUUUUGAAAAAUUCAAUCCAUAAGCACCCUAGUAUUUGAAAUAAGAAUCAAAGCAAGAAAUUUAAAUAAAUAAAAAAAAACCAUUGUGAAACUAAAGAUAAAUAAAAUGAUAUAAACAUAAUUUUAAUAAAGAGGACUGAGAUAAACUAAAAGAUAUAAAUAUAAAUAUAAUAAAAGAGACUAGUGUAACCGGAUAUAAAUCAAAUAACAUAAUAUAUAAUUAUAAAUCUAGUAAAGAGGAUUAACGUGUAUCUAGUAAUAAACUAAAUGACAUAUCUAGUAAUAAACUAAAUGACAUGACUAUAAAUUAAUAAAUAGACUAGUACAUAAUUAGAGAUAAAUUAAAUGAUAUAAUUAUAAAUAAAUAAAUAAAUAAAUAAAAAGAGUAAAUGUAUAACUUGAGAUAAAAGUAAAUAAUAGGAGUAUAAAAAAAUAAAAAAAGUAAAACAAUGUAUGGUUUUAAAAUAAACAAAAGGCUAAUAAAACACACAUAAAUUUCUUAAGAUUAAUAUAAAAAAGCAUCACUCCCCUUUUACCUAACUAAUUAGAAUGACACACUAGAGUGAAGGUUAAAAAAUAGUUUUAGAGAUAAAAGAUAAUUAAUUAUUAUAUUGACUAAAUUAAAUAUUAUUUUAGAGAUUAAAAAAAUUAUUGGUAUCUAAAUUAGUUUAUAUUUUUUAUAAAUAAUUUUUAAAUUGAUAUCUAAUUAGCUACCUAGAUUUUAACUACCAAUUAUUUAGAUUCUAAAGUUAACAUCUAAAAUCUUGGUAUCUAAUUAUAUAUCAAUUUAAAAAUUAUUUAUCACUAAUAGAAAUUAAUUUAGAUACCAAUAAUUUUUAUAAUAAUAAUAUUUAAUUUAAUCAAUAUAACAAAUAAAUAUUUUUAUCUCUAAAAUUAAUUUUUAUUGAAUAAUUUUGUAGUUAGAUGUCAAUAAUUUUGUAGUUAGAUGUCAACUCUUGUCCUUAGGUGCAUCUCAAUAUUAAUAUCUAGCGUAGUUAGACGUCAAAUAAUAUUUCUUUUCAAUGAUAACCUUAGGGAAGAAAUCUUUAUGCAAAUUCCUCAAGGAUAUAAACACAAUAUCAUAAAUAUCACUCUAGCUUUUGUUGUUUGUAAACACAACAAAUCUAUGCAUGUUCAUGAAUAUGAUUCAAGGAGUUGGUUUACCAAAUUCAGCAGUAACUUACUUUCUCAUGAUUACAAACAAUCUAAGUUUGAUUAUUUCAAAUUUACUAAAGGAACAAAUUCAAAUUUUAUAUAUGUGAAUGUCAUUAUCAUGGUUGGAUAUGAAGUCAGGAGCAAUUAGGUUGGGCUGUCUAAACACAUUUUUGUGAGUGCGCUUAAUUAUUGUGUCUCUUUUAUAAUCUCUGUUUAAAGAUAUCAUUAUACUUGUAAUUGGUGUGCAACAGGAUAAAAAUGAAAACCUAAUAGUUGUCCGUGUAGAUGUAGGUUGCAGUUGGCGACCGAACCACGUUAAAUCUUGUAUCGUUUAUUUGUCUGCAGUUGAUUCGUGAUUAUGUGUGUUACUUCCGCAUUUGUUUUUUCCAUCAAUCAUUUUACAAACGAAAACUUUUCUACACAAGCAUUUCAUGUUAAGAUCAUUUCAUGUUAAAAGAUCUUGGAGAUCUCAAAUUCUUUCUACACAAGCAUUUUAGGUUAAAAAGAUCUUGGAGAUCUCAAAUUCUUAUCAUUCAAAAAUUAAGUUUAAGGUUGAUGUAUUUCUCUCUUUUUCUUUUAUUUCCUCUUUAUUACUAUGAUUGCAUCAAUACUUACGUUAACGAAAUUUAGAAACUAUUUUUUUUUAUCUUUAUUAUUAUGUAACAUUAAUUAACUAACAGGUUAAAUAAGUAUUUAAAGUGAAAUAUAUUAGUAAUGUUAUACAAUAAUGUGUGUUACUUGAAAAAAAGAAUCUUAUGAUUCAUAAAAUAAAUGGUAUUCACGUAUCAAAAAAUAAAUAAUAGAGAUUGAAAUUUUUGGAGAUGAAAAUCAAAGAAAAUAUUUUACAGAGACCAAAAUUAAUAUUUUACACUACCUGAUCUCUAACCCUCCAAAUACUCUGUUACUGUAAACCAAAAUAUUGAACAUUUUUGUUUUCUAGAAAUCACCUCCCCCACAUGAUCUUGUGGUUUUCUAAAAAUUAUUUUAUCAGUCAAUAAAAUAUUAUUAUAACUAGUUAUUGUAAAAGCUAAAACAAGACUAUGAUAAAGGAAUGUAAAAACCUAUUUAGGGUUGUUAUACUUUGUCUUGACUUGAUAUAGAGCAACAGUUCCUGAAUUCCUUUUGAAUAAACAGAAAACCAUUUUGAAACAGCCUAUAAAAGUACAACUAUCCUUUUAUUCAUCAAGGAGAGUAACUUUCUGAAAUGAAGCAUUGAUAUGUAGUUGAUAACAUGUCAUUUAAAUCAUUCACAUAAAAUGUCUUCUUGAAUAGAAAUGAAUAGUAUAUAUGAAAUGAAACUUCCAAACCUAUUCCUAUGACCAUAAAAUAGAAAACAUGUAACUGUUGAAUAGAAAUAAGUAUGAAUUUGAAUAGAAACGAAGAACAUAUAUUAUUGUUGGGUGGUUAAGAUAUUGGUAGAUAUCGAGAUUUAAUUAUCAUUUAUGUUUUAGUAGUUAAGACAUUGGUAGAUACUGAGAUUUAAUUAUCAUUUAUGUAUUAGUUGGGAUUUUGUUAGCAGUUCUAUAAUCUAUUAAACUAUUAUCUGAGAUAUGAAUAAUAUAUAUACCUUGUUUACUUUUCUUAAUUGUUAUUGUUCUUGGUAUUCAUAUCACAACAGCUAACACUAAGUCUUCGGUGAUUCAACACGUCAAAACUAUGUCUGCUUCUGAAGCAGUUGUUCAUGUGGCUUUGCUCCCAAGUGCUGGCAUGGGUCACCUCAACCCAUGUCUGAGACUAGCAGCAGUGUUCCUCCGCCAUGGUUGCAAAGUCACUCUCAUCACUCCCAGACCCACUGUCUCUAUUGCUGAAUCAAAUUGACUUCAACCUUAUUCCAUUGGAUCCAACCACAGUUGCCCCCAACAUUGACCCUUUUUACCUUCAGUUUCAAACCAUUCGUCAUUCCAUUCACCUUCUAUAUCCAAUCCUAUCUUCACUCACAACACCACUUUCUGCUUUCAUCUACAAUGUUGCUUUAAUCUCCGCUGCAGUCACAAUUUCUGAGAAACUCUUUUGUCCCAGUUACAUGUACUUCCCCACGGCAGCUAGAAUGUUCUCUUUCACUGCAUACGUUUCUGUUCUUGCUGAUUCCGAUCCGGCUGCACAACCGCACCCUUCUACGUUCAUUGGUGAUGCUGUUCAAAUUCUGGGUUUCACAUCACCAAUACCUAGAUCAUCGGUCCCUACCGCUUUUCUUCUUCAAGGUAGCAACUCCUUUCAGAGAAUGAUCAUGGAGGACAGUCGCAAACUCACCAAGCUCGAUGGGGUUUUCAUCAACUCCUUUGAGGAACUGGAAGGAGAGGCACUAGCAGCGUUGAAUGAAGGAAAAGUGGUUAGAGGGUUGCCCCCGGUGUAUGGAAUUGGUCCCUUAAUGGCCUGUGAGUUUGAGAAUGUGGAUCAAGGUCAAAAGGGUUGCAUGAGUUGGGUACUGGAGUGGCUUGAUGAACAAGCUGAAGGGUCGGUGGUGUAUGUUAGCUUGGGGAGCAGGACUGAGACAAGGAAGGAGCAGAUAAAGGACAUGGCUUUGGGGUUAAUAGAAUGUGGGUAUGGUUUUUUGUGGGUGGUGAAGUUGAAGAGGGUUGACAGAGAAGAGGAGGAGGAUUUGGGGGAUGUGUUGGGGAGUGAAUUGAUGAGUAAGGUGAGGGAAAAAGGUGUGGUUGUGAAGGAGUUUGUUGAUCAGAUCAAGAUUCUGGGGCACCCUGCAGUGGGGGGGUCUGUGAGUCAUGGAGGGUGGAACUCAAUAAAUGAGACACUGUGGGAGGGAAAGCCUAUUCUGACAUGGCCUCAGCUUGGGGAUCAGAAGAUGACAGCAGAAGCCAUAAGGAUGAGUGGGGUGGGGAUUUGGGCUGAUGAGUGGGGGUGGGGGACAGAAAAGGUGGUGAAAGGGAAGGAGAUUGCAAAGAAAAUCAAAGAGAUGAUGAGCAAUGAGUCUUUGAGGGUCAAAGCUGGAGAAAUGAAGGAGGCAGCCAGGAAGGCUUGUGGUGUUGGUGGGAGUUGUGAGGUUAUCAUUAAGAGACUAAUUGAGGAGUGGAAGAAGAAUGCUCAAGUCACCUGAGCAUUACCACUGAAUACUAUGUUGCCUGUUCACAAUAUUAAGUGAAGUUUAAGUGUGAAUUUGAAUUUCUGUAAUAUAGUAGUGUACUGUCUAGGCCGAAAGGUUGUAUUGAAAGUCUCGACCGAAAGGUUGUACCGAAAGUCUCGACCGAAAGGUUGUACCGAAAGUCUCAACCGAAAGGUUAAAUAUAAAAAGUAAAUAAGUAAAAUUAAAUUAGUGAUUAUAGCAAAGUCCAUAAGAUGGACCCAAAUAUACAGGUGUGUUUUUGAAAUGUUAGGUGCAAAAAGAAAAGACCCAAGUAACUCUUAAGCCUAAUAAGAGAGCCUUAUAAAUAGAGGUUCAACUCAAGGGUGAGGGAGAUUCAAUUUAUCUUAUGAACAUAAAACUAUAUCUGACUUUGGCAUCAGAGCGCCUUGCAGGUCCACACACCCACCUGUGAGGAGAAGAAGCCGAGAGCACAACUCGAGUAGAAGCCGUGAGAGCCCAACCCGAGAAGAAGCCGAGAGCACCUAGCUGAAGGAGAAGCCGAGAGCACUUAGCCGAAGGAGAAGCCAAGAGCACUUAGCCGAAAGAGAAGCCGAGAGAAUCUACCUUGAGGAGAAGCCUAGAGCACCCAAUGCGAGAAGAGACCGAGAGAGUCCAGCCCAAAGUUCGGAAGAUUUGUAUAAGAGUUAAUCUUGUCAACCUGAUUCUAGUGUUCUUGGUCCUUGUUGUAAGAACAAGUAGUAACCUCAACUGCAUAAAAUAGUAUGCAAACAUAUACUCAAACUGUAAUUUGUGAUUACAUUUCCAAUUUGGUUGAGUGUUGGUGUUUAAUGCUUUUUAUUUCAUUGUUACAAAAUAUUUUGAGGGUUUGGAAAUUUAUCAGAAUUCGAAAUGUUUUAAGGUUUAAAUAGUGUUUAAUUGGUACAUAUCCACUUUAUUUCCUUUAGAUUUGCAAUUCAAGUAAUAAUUUUCAUGAUAAUUUUUUUUAAAAAUAUGUAUAACAAAUCAUUUUAAAAGUAUAUAUCAAAAUAUUCAUUGUUGGAUGCAGAGGGUUGAGGUUGAAGUGUAUUUACUUGGCGAGGAAAAGAAGAACAAAGCAAGAGAUGUGGUUUGACUUAAGAAGAGAGUGUGGGUUUUGGAGUGAUGAAAGUGACUUUGCAACCAUAAUGAAGAAACAAUGCUGCUAUUCUGAGAAAUGGGUUGAGGUGAACCAUACCAGCUCUUGGAGGGAAAGCCACCUGAACAACAGGUCCAGAAGUAGGCAUUUUUUUGUGUGUAUGUAACUCAUUUAGGAUUGAACCCUCUGGAACUGCACUUUGUAUGGCUCAGAAGUUAGAGCUAAAGGAUUGCCAUAUUGAUCCUGAUAUAUUCCAAUAUCACUGCAUGGAUAGUUGCAAUAAUUGCACACACUUGGACAAUAAACCAUCUUGUAAGCAUCCUCGUACUUCUCAAUCUUAAACCAGUUGCUGAUGGUUUGAGAGCCAGGGUUAUUACGAAGUGGACUUUAAGCCUAACUCAACCCCAUAAAACCGGCUCAAUGGGGUGAGGUUUGCACCCACUUAUAUACUAUGAAAGGCUCUAAUCUCUAGUCGAUGUGGGAUCUCCAACACACCCCCUCAUGCCGAGACUACCAACUCGUGCGUGGGACUAUAUAUUAUGGGUGGUCCGAUAGCGGCCUGAUAGCGGGUGGCACGAUAGGCCCAACACAAACACUUGCUAGGAUAGGCUCAAAAAUGGCUCUGAUACCAUAAUGUGAUUAACCGCCAUGGCAAAGAGAUAGCAAUCACCCAAGGCACCAACCAACAGAGGAUGAAAAACCCUAAACAGAGAGGGAGAGAGAACAGAGAACAUAGAGAGGGAAAAAAGUCUAAAUUGUGAAACUUAAUGGCACAGAAAAACUAAUUAUUAUUGGAUCCAUAAGAGUAUAUAUAUGUACAUGUCAAACAGCAAAACACAGAUUACAAAGAGAAAAACAAAAGCCCAAAAAAUGGAAGGCCCAAAACAAAAGUGUGUAAAGGUGUGCAGUUAUUAAUAAAGGGUACAGAUAUUUUAUCAGCCCCCCUCAAGCUGGGAAUAUAUGUUUCUCAUUCCCAGCUUGGACUGGAUCUCUUUGUAUAUUGUUGGAGCAAGGGGUUUUGUAAGGAUAUCCACAAUCUGCAUAGAGGAAGAGAUUGGAAGCAACUUGAGAAGCCCAGCGGUGAUCUUGUCUCGGACGAUGUGACCGUCAAUGUCGAUGUGCUUGAUACGCUCAUGAAACACUUGAUUUGAGGCAAUGUGUAUUGCAGAUUGGUUGUCAUAGUAGAUGGUUGCUGGUUGGAUAUAGGAAAUACCAAGGUCUUGCAGGAUAUAGGUUAGCCAUUGAAUCUCGCAGGUGGUUGUGGCUAAGGCUCUAUAUUCGGCUUCAGAAGAACUUUUGGAAAUGGUUUGUUGUUUCUUGGAUUUCCAUGAGACGAGAGAGUCACCCAAAAAGAUGGAGUAACCGGUUACUGAUUUUCGAGUUUCAGGACAGGUAGCCCAAUCCGAGUCACUGAAACCGCGAAGUUGGAGAGUGUUGUUGCUGUGAAAGAAGAUACCGUUUCCAGGGUUGCCUUUCAAGUACCGAAUAAGACGAAAAGUAGCUUGUUGAUGGAGAUUGGUAGGAGAGGAAAUAAAUUGGCUGAGGUUGUGGACAAUAAAGGCAAUGCCAGGCUGUGUGUUGGUUAGGUAUAUGAGCUUGCCAAUGAGUCUUCUAUAUUCAGAGGUUUCAAUGUCAUUGAGUCGUGUGCCAACAGAGGAGGAAAGUCGAGAUGAGUGAACCAUGGGUGUAAGCAUAGGAGCAGAAUUGAUCAUGCCGGUUUCAUGAAGAAGGUCCAGUACGUAUUUUCGUUGACAGAUGUGGAGCCCUUGGCUGUUUCUGGCCACCUCUAGGCCCAAAAAAUAGGUGAGGUCUCCUAGGUUUUUGAUCUUAAAUUGAGUGUCCAGCAGAGAGGUGAUAUGAGCAAUUUCCUCAUGAUCGUUUCCAGUAAGCACCAGAUCAUCAACAUACACAAGAAUAAUGGUGAUGUUAGGUCCGUUAUGAUGUAAAAAUUGAGAGUGAUCAGCAGAGGAUAAAGUGUAUUUAUGUGAAAGUAAAAAUUGAGACAGUUUUGCAUACCAUUGGCGGCUAGCCUGGCGAAGGCCAUAGAGUGAUCUUUGUAAUUUGCAAACAUGUUGAGGAGAUGGGAGUUUGAGGCCUGGCGCUGGUUGCAUGUAGACUUCCUCAAGGAGGUCCCCAUGGAGAAAAGCGUUAUUCACAUCAAGUUGUUUAAGAAUCCAGUUUUGAGAAGUGGCAACAGCAAGUAAAAGUCUUAAAGUGGUUAGUUUUGCUACAGGAGCAAAAGUAUCUAAAAAAUCAAGACCUUCUAAUUUUGUGUAGCCUUUUGCUACCAACCGUGCUUUGUGGCGAUCAAUGGUUCCAUCAGCUUUGUGUUUUACCUUAAAAACCCAUUUGCAGCCAAUGGUUUUCUUACCUGGAGGAAGAAUAGUGAUCUGCCAUGUGUUGUUAGCAUUAAGCUCUUCUAGCAUUUCUUGUUUCCAACAAUGAUACUUAGAAGCCUCAGUGUAAGUGUUGGGUUCAGUGUUAAAAGAUAUAGAUAAAAUAGUCUUUUUGAAAGAAGGUGAGAGAGCAGUGUAGGAAAGAAAUUUAUGAAUGGGAUACCGAUUACUUACAGUGUUUGCAGCAGGUAAGCAAGUAUGGAAGUCCUCUAAGUAGGUAAGGGGUCGUUUUUGUCUGCUAGAGCGUCUAGUUGGAAUAAUGUUGUCUUCAUUGUGAGUGAUUGGAGGCUCGUGCUCAUGAUUGUGACAGUUAUAAUCAAACAAAAUAUCAUCACAGAAUGUAUUAUAGUUAGCAGAAAUGGGUAAAGAUAAAGUGUUGGGGCUCCGUUUGUCAUCAUGAUUCAAUAUGUAUGGAAAAUGAUGUUCAUGAAAGAUCACAUGUCUUGAAACUUCAAUGCGAUGAUACUUUAAAUUUAAGAUGAUGUAACCUUUAGUAUUGUGUGGAAAGCCGAGAAAUAUACCAUGAACAGAUCUAGGAUCUAAUUUCUUUCUAUUAGAAUGAAUGGUAGUAGAAUAACAUGAGCAGCCAAAAACCCGUAAGGAAAAGAUAUCACAAGGUUUUCCAAAAAGUUUUUCAUAUNNNNNNNNNNNNNNNNNNNNNNNNNNNNNNNNNNNNNNNNNNNNNNNNNNNNNNNNNNNNNNNNNNNNNNNNNNNNNNNNNNNNNNNNNNNNNNNNNNNNNNNNNNNNNNNNNNNNNNNNNNNNNNNNNNNNNNNNNNNNNNNNNNNNNNNNNNNNNNNNNNNNNNNNNNNNNNNNNNNNNNNNNNNNNNNNNNNNNNNNNNNNNNNNNNNNNNNNNNNNNNNNNNNNNNNNNNNNNNNNNNNNNNNNNNNNNNNNNNNNNNNNNNNNNNNNNNNNNNNNNNNNNNNNNNNNNNNNNNNNNNNNNNNNNNNNNNNNNNNNNNNNNNNNNNNNNNNNNNNNNNNNNNNNNNNNNNNNNNNNNNNNNNNNNNNNNNNNNNNNNNNNNNNNNNNNNNNNNNNNNNNNNNNNNNNNNNNNNNNNNNNNNNNNNNNNNNNNNNNNNNNNNNNNNNNNNNNNNNNNNNNNNNNNNNNNNNNNNNNNNNNNNNNNNNNNNNNNNNNNNNNNNNNNNNNNNNNNNNNNNNNNNNNNNNNNNNNNNNNNNNNNNNNNNNNNNNNNNNNNNNNNNNNNNNNNNNNNNNNNNNNNNNNNNNNNNNNNNNNNNNNNNNNNNNNNCAUAGAUUAUUUUCCUUACCAGUGCAGGAGACAGAGGGAUUAAAGUGUGGUGUGGCAGUGUGAAAAAUAGAAGAGUUAAAGAUGUACAAGCCAGCUUUGGCAUUAGAUAAACCAAUCUGCUCUUUGGAGAGGUUGUCCAGUAUAAGACAGUGUGUGGGGGAAAAGAUCAAGUUACAUUUUAAGUGUAGAGACAUUUUAGAAGCAGAUAUAAGGUUGCAUGCAAAUUGAGGGAUAUACAACACAUCAAGAAGAUAAAAUAUAUUUGUAAAAACGACUGUUCCUGAAUAGUUUGCAAAAACAUGUUGGCCAUUUGGUAAGUUGAUCAAAACAGGUUUGAUAGUUUUAUAAGAGGUGAAAGCAGACAAGACAGUACAAACGUGAUCAGUGGCGCCAGAGUCAACGAUCCAGGAAUUAUGACUAUGAUUUAAAGAGGAGAAGAAGUUCUUACCUGUUGAAGACUCAUGUGUAUUGGAGUCUGCAGAGAAGGAGCCCACUUGAUUCACUUGAAUAGGAUUAGGCGGAGUGUCAUUGCUGUUUUGCCUCAAAACAUCAUUGAUAAUUUGAAUUUGAUGUGCAGUGAGAUGGUAAUCACGUUUUUCCUGUUCUUUAGGACAAGGCUCAGAGAAAACACCAUCAGUAGUAAUAAGACUGUUAAUCUGACUAGUCCUAUUGCAGUUAUAGUAUUUGUACCCAAGAGGGUAGCCAUGUUUCUUGUAACAGGUAUCCACAAUGUGACCAUUUCUGUUACAGUGCGUGCAUACCUUUCUAGUGUUAGGUUUGGAGUUCCUAUUGUCUUGAUGAGGGAACCCAACUCUUUUAAAACAAACAUUUUCAGUGUGCCCAUGCUUACCACAAAAAGUGCACAGAGUAGAUGAGGAUGUCCUAGUGGAAUCAACACUGUUAAUACUAGAUAUGCUAACAGAAAUGUGGUCUGCUAAUUGUCUUUCUUGCUGGGCAACGAGAGAAAAGAUCUUUGAUAUAGGUGGGAUGGGUUCCAUGAGAAGAACGUGUGAUCUAACAUUACUGUAUUGGUCAUUUAACCCUCUCAAAAAUUGCAUGGCAUAAUCUUCGCACUUUCUUUGACUUAUGAUAGAAUUAACUAAACAGGAACAUUUUACAGAACAUGUGCACAUGGGGAUAGGCCUAAAGUUGUCAAACUCGUCCCAAAUUAUCCUUAAUUUUGUAAAAUACUCAGUCACAGAUAAAUCCCCCUGAUUUAAAGAAGCUACUUCUACUUGAAGAUCGGAAAUUCUAGAUAGGUCACCCUGAGAGUAUCUAGUUUUCAAGUCAUUCCAGAUGUCUAGGGCACUAUCCAUCCAAAUAAUGUGUGGAUUUAUGACUCACAUUUUCCGUUUUCUUGUCAUAAUUGGGAGGUUAAUUGUCACAAUCAAUUGCAAUCAAUGGGAGAUUAAUUGCCACAAUCAAUUGCAAUCAAUGGGAGAUUAAUUGUCGCAAUCAAUUGCAAUCAAUGGGAGGUUAAUUACCAUUAAUUGUAUUUAUUAUUGUUGUCUCCUAUAACCACUAUAUAUAGUGACUUCCUUCAAGCAAUGUAACACACUACAAACAAGCAACACACACUUGCUUCCUCUCUCUUUUCAUAUACUCUCUAUUUUUGUUCUUGGGUGUAAGUGUUUAACCCAUAUAGAGAGGAUUUGUUUUAGGGCUAUUUAUCUAUUAGUUUGAGAGGAAUUCAUUGUACUCCCAGUAUCAUUAUUGUGAAAGUUUUGUCUCUCUCGCCGGUGGUUUUUUACCUCUAUUUAAAGGGGUUUUCCACCUAAAAAUUCUGGUAUCAUUCUCACUUUACUUGUUACUUUAAUUUCUCAUAAUUUUUGGUUGAAAUUAUCACGCUUCCGCACACGAUAUCCCUACAUAAUGCUUUGCCGAAUAGGUAAAGAGACGGAGUGUACUAACCAUGAGACUACCGUAUCAUUGCAUCUAUUCCAAACUGAGAAAUUUCGAUGGUCUUUUUCUGGGCAAGGAUGUGUUCCAAGAACGAACUCCACUUUGUUUUUAACGUUCAGUGCCGUCAAGAUUGAGCGGCUCCAGGAGUGGUAAUUUGAAGCAUCCAGCACUGGUGAGACGAGCGGAGCAGCGGGGUUCUCGCUAGGAUGAAGGUAGAGGUAGCUGUUCGCCGGAUCGGGUUGAGAUGAAGAAGUGACGCGUUCUUCUGCCAUUGCUGCAAACAGAGAAACAAGGAAAAUAAAUCCAAGAAGAAUAAAAAGAAAAGAAAGUUUUCAGAGUGCACAACAGAGCUUUAUAAUACGAAGUGGACUUUAAGCCUAACUCAACCCCAUAAAACCGGCUCAAUGGGGUGAGGUUUGCACCCACUUAUAUACUAUGAAAGGCUCUAAUCUCUAGUCGAUGUGGGAUCUCCAACAAGGGUUGCCCAAAACACCACCAGUUGUGACAAACCACUUUUAUGUUGAAUAAUCAUAGUCCUUAAGCUUCCACAAUGUGGAUUGUGGACAACUUAUACAGGUGGAGAAAUAGAUGUUGAAAUCAGUGGAAACGCGAAUCACACCUUUCUUAUCAUUAACAGGUACAAAGAUCAAUUGCUGGCCUUGAUAACCAUCAACAACUACAACAUCAAGAGGGCAAUCUUCACCUGUGAUUGAGAGAGAAAGGCCACCUACAUCAGAGGAUGCUGGAACAAUGUAGUAAUUGUCACCAGCUCACCUUCUUCCCUGAUGAAUCCACAAUUUGCUCUGGUGCAGGACCUACUUCUUCAAUUUUCUGUGUUUACUUUUUUUCUUCUUGUAACUCUUGUGAGAUGGAUAUGGAAGAAGAGGGAGAUUUACAUUUAUAUUAGCCGGGGAUGGAUCUAAAUCUAUGUACCCAUGUGCACCAAAGUCAUGGAUUUCUUCUCUUACAAUUGGCCUGUAUAUAAAGAUUCAAUUUUGUCAAAAAACUUGUGUAGUUCACAAUCUGUGAUUGACUAGAUUUAUAAGUUUUCUGAUGAAGUUGUAGUUUGGUUUAUACUCAAUCAUUCAGAGUAAAUAGCCCUUGCCAAUUGCUGAAUUUGCUCGGCACUGAAGCGUUGUACGAGGUUUCUAUCGGACUCGAAGCACAUAGAUUAGUGCAUUUCCAUUUUUUAAGCUCUAUAUUGUGAGAUUAAUGAAUAUCUUGCUUUACUCUUUUCUUUUCUUUAGCUUUAUAAGAAAAUGAUAAAAAAUGGUAAGAAGAAGAAAUGUUUCUUAUUCUCUUAUGUGUAUUUUACAUCACUUCAUGUAUAGGAAAUAUAUAGGGAGUUUCUCUUCCCAAAUUACAAUCUAAUUAUGUAGAUACUAACCAUGAGAUUAUAUAAUUAUUAAAUUAAUUGCAUAUAAUUGGUACAAUAUCUUCAAAUAUUGCAUACAAUAAUUACAUAUAAUUUGAUAAUUAUUAUUUUCUUAAUAAGCUUCAUUGUUAUUUUCUUCAAAUUUAUGCAGAUGGAACAGAAAAGGAUGUUCCAGAAUCAAUAAUCAAAUAUUUUGUCUCCCUAAUCCAGAACUCCAACUUUUUUCAGAAAACCCAUAAUUCAGCAAAUUGUACAUGCAGUAUUUUUUAUGAGUAAAAAUCACUAAGCCUGCAGUUUUUUACAUUCCUUUAUCAUAGUCUUGUUUUAGCUUUUACAAUAACUAGUUAUAAACAGUAUAUAAUGAUAAUAUUUUAUUGACUGAUAAAAUAAUUUCCUAGAAAACCAGAAGAUCAUGUGGGGUAGGUGAUUUCUAGAAAAUGUUCCAUAUUUAGGUCAAAUUCUAGGUCUCCAUUGUUGGUAUUAUAUGUUAAGUUUACAAAUAUUGAUAUUUAAAACUUACAAAAAUAUCACUCAUUUUCAUGUUUUUCUUUCAUUGUCAUUUGUAUUUAAAAAAAAUUCAGAAAAUCUUUUGUAAGACAUUGACUCGCGGAUCACUUGAUUUUAAUAUUCUUAGAAAAUAUUAAAUAUAAAAAAUAUCAUCUAUUAUAAUGUAGAACUUUUAUUACUGUAGAAAUGAAAUAUUGUUUUUCACAGUUUUUCACUGAGAGAUCUAUGUAAUGUAAUUUUGGUGAUCGACUACAACUACCAGAGUAAUGAAGAAAAAGAGAAUUGGUUGGAUCCAAGUUAGAUUCUAUCGAAAUUUCUCUCAUAAAAGAAAGAGAACAAAUUCAAAAAGAUAAAAGAAAAAUAAAAGGAAUAAAAAAAUAAAGUUUAUCAAACUAAUGAUAAAGUUUAGUAUCAUAUUAAUGCUAACAAACUAAUGAUAGAAGAAGAAAAAUUAAAAAAAAUAAAUAUAUAUAUAUAUAUAUAUCAAACUUUAUUUUUGAAUUAAAGUUUUUUAAUGAAUAAGAGAUACCAAAGUUAUGUCUUAAAUACACAAGAUAAGUAGAAAGAAAAAAGUUUGCAAAAUGAUAAACUAGUUAAUAACAUAGUUAUUAUAAACAUAACACACACAAAAAUAAUUAAAUAAAAAUGAAUUUUAGGGAUAAAAAAUGAUUAAUCAAUAUAUUAAUUAAAUUAUACACUAAUUUAAAAACUAAAAAAAUAUUAUUAUUUAAUAUAAUUUCUAAAUUUAUAAAUUAAUUUUAAUUUUAUAUUUAAUUAAAUAUUAACUAAUUUAUAUUCUAAAAUUAAUAGCUAAAACUUUGAUAACUAAUUAAAUAUCAAUUAAUUAAUUAAAUAAUAAUUUUAAUCUCUAAAAUAAUUUAUAUUUUUAUUAAUAUAAUGAUUAAUUAUUAUUUUUUAUUUAAAAAUAAAUUUUAUUUAAUAAUAUUUUAGUAGGUAAAUACAACUAUAAAAAAUCCAAUGAAAAAACUUAAAAUUUAGUUAAGUUUAAUCAUUAUUAUUUUAUAUUUUAAUUAAUCAAUUAAAACUUUUUUCAACACUACUCAUAAAUACUUGAGACUUUUUUCAACACUACUCAUAAAUACUUGAGACUUUUUUUAACACUAAUCAUAAAUACUUGAGACUAUUUUCAACACUACUCAAAAGAAAAUGAUUAUUUCACAACUGCUUUUUUUUGGGCCAUAUUAUAAUGUAUUCAAAGUUUUUUUAUCCUUCAAUAAAUCUAUACAUUUUAUAAGUGACUUUUAUUCUUGUAAUAAAUAUACCUAAUUUUUAUAUGGUGUAAAAUUAUCAAAUGAUGAUUUGAAUCAAAGUUUUCAAAUAAAUUUAUUUUUUAAAUUAUAAUUUAUUAUUUUAUUUUAACAAAAAUAUUUGUUUGACAACUAGCUUAAAUUACAGAAUUAGAAAAUUCUUUUUGUGAUGUUUUAAACAAAAAAUUGAUAAAUUUUUUUUCUGAUUUUACAUAUUCAUUAUUUUCAACUAAUAGAAAACUUUUUUGGAGUAAUCACAUUAUGUAUAAUAUUAUCAUUUUCAAUACUAACAUACAAAUAUAUACAAUAAAAUAUGUUAUACUUAAAUUAAAAAAGCUAAAAUAUUGUUAAAUAAUUGAUUUUUUUUUAGUUAUUAAAGUCUUUUUAUUCAAUUUAAACGAGAGUUUGAUAAAAAAGAAAAUUUUAAUUUUUCAAAAAAUUAAAACUAAAAAAAAUCUAAUAAUUGCUAUAUUUAAGAAAGUAACAUUUUUAACAACUAAUAUUUUCAAAAAAAUUAUGUUAUGAUUCUAAUAAUAUUAUUUAUGUAGAGUACAUGAAAAUCUAUUUUUUCUCAAAAUAAAAUGAAAAUUUAAAUAAUAAAAGUUUAUAUGUUAUAUUAAUAAUAUAUUUUAUUAAUUCAAUUAUUUAUUUAUAAAAUUUAUAAUUUAUGAGAUUCAUAAUUUUUAAGCAUAAAAAAAUUCACAUACCUAAUGUCUCUUUAAAAUAAUUCGAAAAAUUAAAACAUUAAACAUGAAAAUUAUAAACUCACAAAAUAGUUAUAUUAUUCAUAUAGUAAAACUUAAUAGUAUUUUUUAUUGAUCAUUUACAUCUCUAUUUCUUUCUUUAUUUAUUUCUUGUUAGAAUGUUAAUAGAUAUUCUUUAGAAGCUUUUCCUAAAUUAUUGUGAGAAGUCCAUAAAAUUUGAUGUCGUAACCUGAUUAAUAGAGUACAUAAACAUAAUAAUAUACAAUGAUUAUAUACAAUAUAACAAAAUACUAUCAUCAAAAGAAUCAUAGAAUUUGCAAAAAUAAAAGAAGUAUUAAAAAAGAACAAAAUGAUGAUAUGGAUUACGAAUUUCACAAUCAUUUAUUUAAGAGGUUUUGUGUGCAUUCAUUUGUAUUUGACAAUCCUUUUGCACGAUUUACAUUCUCUGUCAGCAUCACCACAAACCCCUCUUGGCUAAAUUUAAGUUAUAUAUAGUCAAUUCUAUCCAAGAAAAUUUAACCAACUAUAUUUUAGGGUGUUCCUUGUUCCAACGAUCUCACUAGGAAGGUAAAACCAUAUAGAAGGGCUACCACUUAUGUAAACAUAUAUGUUUUGUGUUGUUCUAUUGCGGGGUGGUGCAUGAGUGAUGACUUUUUUACGGCAAGUGCAUUGUGUUGUCAAAAGUAAUAAUUUGUCUAUAGGGACGAAUAUCGAACCCACAAGGAACAGUUGAAUAAUCAAGUAAAAUAUUCACUAAAUAGAAAACAAAAUAAUAAAGUUUUUUGGGAUUUGUUAUGAUGACAAUGAUUAAUAAGAAAAUAAGUCAAAGAGUUUGUUGCUUCAAUUGAAAAAAUAAGGAUUGCGGUUCAUCUUUCUCACUCUUUUGUAUUUUGAUUAGCAUGAAAAUAUUGUGUCCUUUGAUUGAUAUUAAUGCCCGUAUAAAAAUCAUUUAUAUCGAUUCCUCGCAUAUAAAAUUAUUAAUAUGCUUCCUAAAUAUCGAUUUUUCGCAUAUUUAUAAAAAAAAAACUUAUUAUUAAUAUUAGAUGUUGAUAGAAAUUAACAUUUCAAAUCUAUUCCUAGCAUUCAAAUAUGUUAAACAUUAUCAUUUGGGUCAAAACCUUAGAAGUACUUUUUAGCCAAAUCUAAGUUUCGAAAUCAUGGAAAACCAAACAUUACAAACAAAAAAAUAAUACCAAUCAUUAAUCAAGAACAAAAUAUUAUAUUUAGAUAUCACAUCAAUGCAUAAAAGUUAAAACAGAUUACUCCUAAUCCAAAUGGUAGACUUAGCCACACAUGAUGGUUGUUACAAGUAGGGAGAGCAAGAAAAAAAGAUUCUGGAUUUUCUCCUUGACGGUUGCCUCCUCUAGGGUUUCUAACACCUCAUAUUCUCCCAAUUGGAUUACAAUUCACUCAAAGGUGUUUUCCUCUCAAUCACUGAUAUUUAGGGUUGUGCCUCAAGCCCCCUAUUUAACCUAAUUUUUGUGGGCUAAGUGUCUUCUCACUUGGCCUUUAUUGCUGAAAUUUGACACUUAUCAAUGAGGAGUGUGAAAAGUAACCUUAAUGGAGGAGACCAAGGUACAAUUAUCUAAUCUCAAUCUUAAUGUAGUUGGUCAAGUUAAGUGGUGACAUGUGUAGGAAUAAGCGGUGACCCUUGCUACCAACUUUCUACACAGUUAAUUAAUUUUAGAAAUAUUUAGGUUUGUGUUGUUCUUAUGUAGAGUGGUGCAAUGCAUGAGGUAUGUGUAAAGUAACCCUAGUGGAUGACACGAAGAUCAAGGUCUCCAACCUUACUAUUAUUGUAGUUAGAGAUAGUUAUAUUAAGUGGUGACUUGUGUAGGAAUAAGUGGUGACCUACUACCAAGUUUCUGCACAGUUAAGUAACUUUAUAAAUUUUAAGUUUUGUUCUUGUGUGAGGUGGUGCAUGAGGUGUGUGUAAAGUGACCUCAAUGCAAGACACCAAGGUACAAUUAUCAAAUCUCAUUGUUAAUUAAUCAGAAUAAGUGGUGACCUAUGUACGAAUAAGUGGUGAUCGACUACCAACUUUUUGCACCACAAAGUAAUUUUUGAAAUUUUAAGCUUUGUAUUAUUCUUGGGUGAGGUGGUACACUGCAUGAGAUGUGUGUAAAGUCACCCUAGUGGAGAACACGAUGGUUAAGUUCUCUAAUGUCAUUGUUAAUGUAGUUAGCCACAAUCACAUUAAAUGGUGACAUGUGUAGGAAUAAGAGGUGACUUAUAACCAAGUUUUUGUACAGUAAAAUAUUUUUAGAAAUUUUAAACUUUGUUUUGUUCUUAGUAAGUGCAUGAUGUGUGUGUAAAGUGGCCUUAGUGGAGGACUCUAAGGUCAAGUUCAUUAAUCUCAAUUUCAAUAUAGUUAGUCACAAUAAGUGGUGACAUGUGUAGGAAUAAAGGGUGAUAUGCUACCAUUUUUUGUGCAUAGUGAUGUAAUUUUGAGUUUUGUUUUGUUCUUAGGUGGGCUGAUACAUGGGAUGUGUGUAAAAAGUGACCUCAGUGGAGGACACCAAGGUCAAGUUCUCUAAUCUUGAUGUGAAUGUAGUUAGUCAUAGUAAGUCGUGACCUGCUACCAAGUUUCUGCACACUAAUCAAAAUUUUGAAAAUCUAAGCUUAUUGUUGUUCUUGUUAGAAAAGAUGGCUUUAAACUAGAGGGGGUGAAUUGUUUAAAGGGGUUUUCGCAAACUUUCCAAAGCUAGAAUGAAUUUAUUUCAGAAACCAAUUGAUUCAGCAAUUCAGUUAGCCAAAACAACAAGCAAAACUGUAAUACUAGAAAAAAACAAUCGGUUGUUUCUUCGAAACAAUCGGUUGUUUAUACCAGCAAACAACAAACAAGCUGAAAUUAAAGAGUUAGGGAUAGAGAGAUUGUACACAUUUGUUUAUACUGGUUCACUCCAAACUAGAGCUACAUCUAGUCUUCUCAGAAACCCUAAGGAUAUCCACUAAGUAAUCACCACUUGAUCACUUACACCACAACCAAGAGAAUGACCUUGAACACCUCAAGAAACACACUCUCCUUGGCCAACACUAAGAUUGCUGAUCUUGAACACCUCAAGAACACACAGCCAAUCUCAGCAAAACAUGCACACGAAUUGUUCAGCAGUUUACACAGAUUACACUUGUUACAGAUGAAUAUCUGAAAUCAAUACAAGUAGAAUCUNNNNNNNNNNNNNNNNNNNNNNNNNNNNNNNNNNNNNNNNNNNNNNNNNNNNNNNNNNNNNNNNNNNNNNNNNNNNNNNNNNNNNNNNNNNNNNNNNNNNAUUCCAGCACCUUGAUCAAUCUCUCAACUCUUAAGCAAUCUCAGAACUUCUUGAAAAACUCUUAGUUGUUGUUAUUGUUAAACUUUGUCUCAAGAUUCUUAAUCCUUAAAAACAGUUUUUCAGAAUAUAUUCAAGAAUAUAGUUUGUUAUCAAAUCUUAACAAACUCUUAAUUGCAUUUAAAAUAGAUUGGUCAAAGCAUUUAAUGACUGGAGCGUACUCAGUUAAAGCAUUUAAAGCUCAGUCAAAGAAAACAGUUUUUCUGUUAUGGUUUCAAAACAAACAAUCGAUUGUUUCCUCAAAUCAAUCGGUUGUUUUGUUACUUAACAAAUUUCACCAUUCAAAAACGGUUUUCAAACUUUCUCAAAACACCUAAGUGUAAACAAUCGGUUGUUUCGACAAAACAAUCGGUUGUUUCGACAAAACAAUCGGUUGUUUCGACAAAACAAUCGGUUGUUUCGACAAAACAAUCGGUUGUUUCAACUUAGUUUGAAAAACAUUUUUCUUUGAUAAAAGUUGAGAUGUUAAUGCUUGAGAUUUAAUCUAAGGGUGGAUUACAACAUUACACUACCCCAGAACAAAGCUUAAAUCAGCACAGCAACACAAAGCAAAGCAGAGGCUUCAUCAUCCUUCAAAGGAUUUGGAUUCUUCAAAACAUUGAACACCACUUGGUUCAAUAAUCUCCCCCUAUUUGAUGAAGACAAAUCCUUGAUGCUUGUGUUGUACCUGAUUAAAUCUGAAGUAGUUCCUGCAAUAGAACUUUGAGCAAUAUUUUGAACUUCUGAUAUUCUAUUAGCAUACAGAUAAACAUUUAAGGCUUAAAACAGUUAAUAUCAGAAACAAAAUACAUGUUACUUAAACUGUUUUUAAUCAAAAUGAAAAACAGAGAUAUUUAAACAAACUGGAAACACAAACACAGCAUAUAUCUCCCCCUAUUUGUCUUCACAAAUAGAAAAAGAUAAGAGAUAAAAAAAAUUGUUUCCAUUACAUCAGAAUAAACCAUCAACAGCAGAAGGAAAGAAAUUUUAAAACCAGAAAAGAACAACUAAAAAACAAUCGAUUGUUUUGUUGACCAAUCGGUUGUUUUUCCUUCAUUCUUCUUCAUCAGCAAACUGAAGAUCAAAGAUUUGAUUCUGGACAGCUUCAAUCUGUUCGUCCAGAGUCAUAAACCUUGUAUCCAUGUUGUCAAACCUUGUAUCAAUCCUCUGAAAGUUACUAACACACAAAUCAUGAAGGCUUAUUUGAUUUUCAGCAAAGCUAUCUAGCCUAUCCAUCAUUUGUCUUUCAAAAGAUGAUAUGGUUGACAUUCUUUCUCUUUGAUAUCCAUCAGCAGCACUAGGCCCUGCAUCUUGAAAAUCUCCAGCUGGAUCUUCAUGUUGAACAUCCAUAUCAGNNNNNNNNNNNNNNNNNNNNNNNNNNNNNNNNNNNNNNNNNNNNNNNNNNNNNNNNNNNNNNNNNNNNNNNNNNNNNNNNNNNNNNNNNNNNNNNNNNNNNNNNNNNNNNNNNNNNNNNNNNNNNNNNNNNNNNNNNNNNNNNNNNNNNNNNNNNNNNNNNNNNNNNNNNNNNNNNNNNNNNNNNNNNNNNNNNNNNNNNNNNNNNNNNNNNNNNNNNNNNNNNNNNNNNNNNNNNNNNNNNNNNNNNNNNNNNNNNNNNNNNNNNNNNNNNNNNNNNNNNNNNNNNNNNNNNNNNNNNNNNNNNNNNNNNNNNNNNNNNNNNNNNNNNNNNNNNNNNNNNNNNNNNNNNNNNNNNNNNNNNNNNNNNNNNNNNNNNNNNNNNNNNNNNNNNNNNNNNNNNNNNNNNCCAACCGAGCAUGUGCUAACUUGAGAUUGAUUGUUCUUCAAGCAACUUUUGUAGAACUGGAUUUUGUUGAAAUCUUCCACCACACCAAGAUUUCCCUUGUUGAUUCUCAAACCAGAGAACUUAAGCCCAGCAACAGCUGCCCAAACCUCAUGAGUUAUCUCCAUCUCCACACCUUUCACAUGAGAGACUAGGUUGUUUCCCUCAAACUUCAAGUUGGUGUAGAAUACCCUCACCAAAUCUAAAUAUAUGUUCCCUUUUAGCUCCAGAAAUUUUCUGAGUGAUUGGUCCUUGAGAAGCCUCCUCACUUUGUCAAGCUUUUGACUUUUCAGCCAAUCAAAGCACACAACCUUCGGGUUGUUUAUCUUCUUGACACUUGUUUCAUGCCUAUACUUCUCAAUGAGUUUGGUGUCACCAGAAAACCAGCUUUCAAGUCUUCCUCCAGAUCUUACAGCUCUGGUUUUGACUCUUUUAUAGGUGGGAGGGGUUGAUUCCAUGACAGCAGAGACGAAAACUCACUUCACAGAAAAAUUUGCAAGAGAUGGAGCAAGAGAUAUUGCAAGAGAUGUUGCAAUUGAUUGUUCUUGAUGGAAGAAAUCUGCACCUGAUUUUAUAGAAGAAAGAGAAUCAAUUUGAAUUUAAUUUCAACUCAAUGGGUACCUGAUUUUUCAGAGAGAGGACUUGACUCUGUUCUGCACUGAAAAUGUCAGAAAAAGCUGAAAAUCACAUGGUCUUCACAUGUGAUCUUUGACUAGUCAUUAAGGCUCUUGAAUUUCCAAGAUUUUGGAAUUUAUUCCUUUAUGACUGUUGUAACUUCUUUCUGAUCAUGCUCAGCUUUAAACACAGGUCCCUUGACCAAGAUUCUCCCUUUGAAAUUGAUCUGCAAUGGAUAAAAUUUCAAAAAGCAAUUAAAUCAAUUUCUUCACAGUGCUGUCAGACUCAAAACAAUCAGUUGUUUCGAAGAAACAAUCGGUUGUUUUUCUGCAGCAGUUAAAAACUUGAUUUUGAAAUUUUUAACCAUAAACAGAAACAGAUUAAAGCACAUGAUAUUGAUUAAAAUACAAUUAAUCAUAAGAAAGAACUUUGAAGCAAAAAUUGAGAACAAAUAAAGGAAGGUCUUAUCCUUGUGUUGUUUCUUCAAUGAGCCAAUUGCUUGUUGAUCAAGAAAACUUCUUUUCACUGUUUUGAUCUUUUGCAUAGCAUUGAUUCAGCUUCAAUGACUGCCUUUUUCUUCAACAGCUUGAUCAGAUGGCUCAGUUCUUCUUUUUCUCUUCAUUUUUCCUGCAUAAACAAAUUCAAGUUGCAAGAUUUGGUCCCCUUACAAAUUUGGGUCCUUUUGGCUUUUCUUUGUUGUUAGAAACAUCACAUCCCUUAGGAAUCCAUUUCAUAAGGCCUUUAGGAACACAAUAUUUUCUAAUUUUACAGAAUCUAACAGAGUGGCCUUUCUUCAUGCAGUAAAAGCAUGUAACAACCGGUUGUUUCGUCUUAACAAUCGGUUGUUUUUCUGAUUUUCUUAAAAAAAAAAUUGAAAACCUAUCUUGCUUAUUCUGUGGAUUGAAGCCUAAACCAGCCUUUCCAAAAACACAGCUUUGAGAUGCCAAGACAUUCUCAAAGUUUGAUUUCCUUUUUGAAAGCUUGUCCACAGUUUCAACAAGAUAGUGAACCUUUUUCUCAAGAUUUUCACAAUUUGUGCAAAUGAGAGUAUCACACUUGCAAGAUGCAUUUUUGAAAUGAUUUUCCAGUUUUUCAAAAUCAAUUUUUGCUUUUCUUAGAUCCUCUUCAAGUGAUUUAACUUUNNNNNNNNNNNNNNNNNNNNNNNNNNNNNNNNNNNNNNNNNNNNNNNNNNNNNNNNNNNNNNNNNNNNNNNNNNNNNNNNNNNNNNNNNNNNNNNNNNNNNNNNNNNNNNNNNNNNNNNNNNNNNNNNNNNNNNNNNNNNNNNNNNNNNNNNNNNNNNNNNNNNNNNNNNNNNNNNNNNNNNNNNNNNNNNNNNNNNNNNNNNNNNNNNNNNNNNNNNNNNNNNNNNNNNNNNNNNNNNNNNNNNNNNNNNNNNNNNNNNNNNNNNNNNNNNNNNNNNNNNNNNNNNNNNNNNNNNNNNNNNNNNNNNNNNNNNNNNNNNNNNNNNNNNNNNNNNNNNNNNNNNNNNNNNNNNNNNNNNNNNNNNNNNNNNNNNNNNNNNNNNNNNNNNNNNNNNNNNNNNNNNNNNNNNNNNNNNNNNNNNNNNNNNNNNNNNNNNNNNNNNNNNNNNNNNNNNNNNNNNNNNNNNNNNNNNNNNNNNNNNNNNNNNNNNNNNNNNNNNNNNNNNNNNNNNNNNNNNNNNNNNNNNNNNNNNNNNNNGCUAUGCUCCUUGUGUGCUUAUCUUCACUCUCUUGAACAUUGAGUCUAUUCAUCUCUAGCUCAUGUUCCCUAAGCUUUCCAAACAAAGAAGCAACACUUAAUGAAGUUAGAUCUUUGGAUUCGGAAAUAGCAGUUACCUUUGGUUGCCAUGCUUUAUCAAGACAUUUCAAGAUCUUGAUGUUCAGCUCUUCUUUAUCAAGCGUCUUGUCUAGGCUCAUAAGGUGGUUGAUGAUGUGUGUAAACAUUUUCUGCACUUCAGCUAUGGUUUCACCUUUAAGCAUUCUAAACAUCUCAUACUCUUGGAUGAGAGCAUGCUUUCUAGCUCUUUUCACCUCAUUUGUUCCUUCACGAGUGACUUCCAAAGUAUCCCACAUUUCUUUUGAUGAUUUGCAUUGUGAGACCCUGAAAACUCAUCAGAAUUUAAAGCAGAGGUUAUAAUAUUUUUGGCAAUGCAAUCGAAUUUGGCCUUUUUACUUUCUGCAUCAGUCCAUUGAGACCAUGACUUUUCAAUGACAGCACCAUCUUUUUCAAACUUUGGGAUAAAAGGGCCAUUUUCAAUUGCAUCCCAAAUUCCUUUGACAAGAGAUUCCAUAAAUAUUUUCAUUCUAACUUUCCAAAACUGGUAAUUCAAACCACAAAACAAGGGUGGUCUGUUUAUUGAGGCACCUUCCCCAAACGGUAGUCUAUCAGCCAUUUUAAAAGAUUUUUAGGAUCAACUUGAAUGACUUACAAGAACCAAGCUCUUGAUGCCAAUUGUUAGAAAAGAUGGCUUUAAACUAGAGGGGGGUGAAUUGUUUAAAGGGGUUUUCGCAAACUUUCCAAAGCUAGAAUGAAUUUAUUUCAGAAACCAAUUGAUUCAGCAAUUCAGUUAGCCAAAACAACAAGCAAAACUGUAAUACUAGAAAAAAACAAUCGGUUGUUUCAUCGAAACAAUCGGUUGUUUAUACCAGCAAACAACAAACAAACUGAAAUUAAAGAGUUAGGGAUAGAGAGAUUGUACACAGUUGUUUAUACUGGUUCACUCCAAACUAGAGCUACAUCUAGUCUUCUCAGAAACCCUAAGGAUAUCCACUAAGUAAUCACCACUUGAUCACUUACACCACAACCAAGAGAAUGACCUUGAACACCUCAAGAAACACACUCUCCUUGGCCAACACUAAGAUUGCUGAUCUUAAACACCUCAAGAACACACAGCCAAUCUCAGCAAAACAUGCACACGAAUUGUUCAGCAGUUUACACAGAUUACACUUGUUACAGAUGAAUAUGUGUUUACACGAUCCAGCGCUCCUAUNNNNNNNNNNNNNNNNNNNNNNNNNNNNNNNNNNNNNNNNNNNNNNNNNNNNNNNNNNNNNNNNNNNNNNNNNNNNNNNNNNNNNNNNNNNNNNNNNNNNGAUCAAUCUCUCAACUCUUAAGCAAUCUCAGAACUCUUAGAAAAACUCUUAGUUGUUGUUAUUGUUAAACUUUGUCUCAAGAUUUCUUAAUACCUUAAAAACAGUUUUUCAGAAUAUAUUCAAGAAUAUAGUUUGUUAUCAAAUCUUAACAAACUCUUAAUUGCAUUUAAAAUAGAUUGGUCAAAGCAUUUAAUGACUGGAGCGUAUUCAGUUAAAGCAUUUAAAGCUCAGUCAAAGAAAACAGUUUUUCUGUUAUGGUUUCAAAACAAACAAUCGAUUGUUUCCUCGAAUCAAUCGGUUGUUUUGUUACUUAACAAAUUUCACCAUUCAAAAACAGUUUUCAAACUUUCUCAAAACCCCUAAGUGUAAACAAUCGGUUGUUUCGACAAAACAAUCGGUUGUUUCAACUUAUUUUGAAAAACAUUUUGCUUUGAUAAAAAUUGAGAUGCUAAUUGCUUGAGAUUUAAUAUAAGGGUGGAUUACAACAUUAAACUACCCCAGAACAAAGCUUAAACCAGCACAGCAACACACAGCAAAGCAGAGGCUUCAUCAUCCUUCAAAGGAUUUGGAUUCUUCAAAACAUUGAACACCACUUGGUUCAACAGUUCUUAGGUGGGGUGGUGCAUGAAGUGUGUGUAAAGUGACCUCAGUGGAGUAUACCAAGGCCAUGUUCUGUAAUCUCAGUGUCAAUGUAUGUUGUCACAGACACACUAAGUGGUGAACUAGGUAGGAAUAAAUGGUGACCUACUACCGAGUUUAUGCAUAAUGAAGCAAUUUUAAAAAAAUUGAUCUUUGUGAUGUUCUUGGGUGGGGUGGUGCAUAAGGUGUUUGUAAAGUGACCUCGGUGGAGGACACAUAGGAAAAGUUCUCUAAUCUGAGUAUCAAUGUACUUAGUCACAGUAAAUGGUGAUUUGUGUAGGAAUAAGUGGUGACUUGCUAUCAACUUUUUGCACAUUGAACAAAUUUAUGAUAUUUUGAGCUUAUUGUUGUUGCUCGGUGGGGUGGUGCAUGAGGUAUGUGUGAAGUGACCCUAAUGGAGGAUGCCAAGGUGAAUUUCUCCAAUGUCACUGUUAUACAAUUAUAGUAGUGGACCAGUCAAAUUUAUGGUUGUGUACAAUAUUUAUAAUUUAUGAUUUAGGUUGGGAAAUUUUAUUAGUUACUGAGUUUGUAUUACCAAUGUUACAUUGUUCAAAAUGUUUAAAGUAAUCGAUUUUAUUUUUCAUUUGAUAAAUAAAUCUUUUGUCUGAUAAACAAAUUCAGUUCACCUUAUUCAUCAUUCUCCCUUACCACUGUGCAAAAAUUUAGACCAGGUCACCACUUUCUAAACCAUUUUUUUAAAUGACCAACGCAUUAACCUCUACCAUACUCGAGUCCAAUUGUGCAGUACUUCAAUGAAUAAAAUCUUUCAUACUAAGUUUAAUCACAAUAUGCAUUUAAGCAUACAAAAAUCAUUUUAAAUAAAAUUAUAUCAAUUAUGUCAAGAAAGUCCAAUUCAAAAGUAUACUUAUAAUAAAUAUUUAUUUUACUAGACUAAAUUAGAAUUAUAAAAAUAUGAAAAAAUAGCUAACACUAAGUUGAAAAAAUAUUAUUAUUAAUAUUAACAUUAUUAUUAUCAUAAUUACUACUAAUAUUAAUAUUAUUAUUAAUAUUAAAAUUAUUAUUAUUAUUUAAAUUAUUAUUAAUAUUUAUUGCUAUUAUUAUUAUUAUUAAUUUUAAUAAUAAUAUCAAUAAAAAUAAUAUAAAAAACUAAAAUGGGAAUCAAAUACAAGCGACAUAAGGAAAAAAAAAAUCCUUACACUGUACAAAGAAAAUUUGCAAAUAUAGAAAACAGAUUAAAAAAAACUAAAAAAAAAUUAGAAAAAAUUUCAAAAUAUGGUCCAUAAACUAUUAAAUAUAUUAAUGGUUUUGGAGAGUUUGGUUUGGUGGUUGGUCCAUUAACUAUUAAUAUAUUAAUACUUCUGAAGAGUUUGGUAGCGCACGUUGUCGGGACCCAAACAUAAAAUAUUAGAUUUUUAACUACCUUCUUCUCUUCCUUGAUCACACAACAGCAACCACUUACUAUUCUGGGAUCCAACACAACAAAAAAUGUCUGUUCCUGAAGCUGGUGUUCAUGUGGGUUUCCUCUCAAGUGCUGGCAUGGGUCACCUCAACCCAUGUCUGAGACUAGCAGCAGUGUUCCUCCGCCAUGGUUGCAAAGUCACUCUCUUCACUCCCAAACCCACUCUCUCUCUCGCUGAGUCAAACCUCAUCUCUGCUUUUUCUUCUUCUUUCCCUCAAGUAACUCACAUUCACUUCAACCUCACCCCUUUGGAUCCAACCCAGGUUAACUCCGAUGACCCUUUUUUCCUACAGUAUGAAACCAUUCNNNNNNNNNNNNNNNNNNNNNNNNNNNNNNNNNNNNNNNNNNNNNNNNNNNNNNNNNNNNNNNNNNNNNNNNNNNNNNNNNNNNNNNNNNNNNNNNNNNNNNNNNNNNNNNNNNNNNNNNNNNNUUUCAUUUACUUCACCUCCUCAGCUAGAAUGUUGUCUUUCAUUGCAUACGUUUCUCUUCUUGCUGAUUCCGAUCCGGCUGCACAACCGCACCCUUCUACGUUCAUUGGUGAUGCUGUUCAAGUCCCGGGCUUCACAUCGCCAAUACCAAGAUCAUCGGUUCCUCCCGCUUUUCUUCUUCAAGGUGGCAACUCCUUUCAGAGAAUGAUCAUGGAGGACAGCUGCAAACUCACGAAGCUCGAUGGGGUUUUCAUCAACUCGUUUGAGGAACUGGAAGGAGAGGCACUAGCAGCGUUGAAUGAAGGAAAAGUGGUUAGAGGGUUGCCUCCGGUGUAUGGAAUCGGUCCCUUAAUGGCGUGUGAGUUUGAGAAUGUGGAUCAAGGUCAAAAGGGUUGCAUGAGUUGGAUACUGGAGUGGCUUGAUGAACAAGCUAAAGGGUCGGUGGCGUAUGUUAGCUUGGGGAGCAGGACUGAGACAAGGAAGGAGCAGAUAAAGGACAUGGCUUUGGGGUUAAUAGAAUGUGGGUAUGGUUUUUUGUGGGUGGUGAAGUUGAAGAAGGUUGACAUAGAAGAGGAGGAGGGUUUGGAGGAGGUGUUGGGGAGUGAGUUGAUGAGUAAGGUGAGGGAGAAGGGUGUGGUUGUGAAGGAGUUUGUGGAUCAGAUCAAGAUUCUGGGGCACCCUGCAGUGGGGGGGUUUGUGAGUCAUGGAGGGUGGAACUCAAUAACUGAGACAGUGUGGGAGGGAAAGCCUAUUCUGACAUGGCCUCAGAAUGGGGAUCAGAAGAUGACAGCAGAAGCCAUAAGGAUGAGUGGGGUGGGGAUUUGGGCUGAUGAGUGGGGGUGGGGGACAGAAAAGGUGGUGAAAGGGAAGGAGAUUGCAAAGAGAAUCAAAGAGAUGAUGAGCAAUGAGUCUUUGAGGGUCAAAGCUGGAGAAAUGAAGGAGGCAGCCAAGAAGGCUUGUGGUGUUGGUGGGAGUUGUGAGGUUAUCAUUAAGAGACUAAUGGAGGAGUGGAAGAGGAAUGCUCAAGUCACAUGAGCAUUAGGGUUUAUGGUUUAGCACUCAAUACUAUUUUGCCUAUUCACAAUAUUAUGUUUAAGUGAAUUUGAAUUUAUGUAAGAAAAGAAUAUUAAUUUAGUGUUCGUUAUGGAUGUUUUGUGUUGCUCUCGUCGAAAUAAGGUCUGAUGAAUUUUGAGAUGGUUAUCAGAUCAUAUCCUUGUAAGUUUUAUGGAGCGGCUCAAAGGAAAAUAAAGGUUCCACUUGCAGAAGAUUAUCCGAUACUCAAGUCAAUGAGAACAUAAAUAUAGUAUAUAAAGUAAGUAUAGUGUAAAAUAUGAGUUGAAUUUACUUCCUCAAUGUAGUGGUCUAUUUAUAAGUUUUCAUGGGCUUGAACAAAUGAUAUUGGUUUUCAAUGGCCUUCAUGAGGCAUAAUUAAUUUUAAUCAUUGCAUAACAAAAUUCAAGUAUAAUGUAAUAAAAUCAGAGUAUUAUGUGAUAAAAUCUAAAUAUAAAGGAAUUAUAUAAUGACACCUGAAUAUUUUAUUAUUAAAGUGAAAAAAACUAUAUAAAUAGAAAAUUAGUUAUUCAGGUUUCAUUUUAAAAGAACCACCAUCUGUCUAGAAAUUUCUUUUUCCUUUCCUCUCCCUUCUCUCUAAGAUUCUGACCUCCUCGCUUAUCAGUUUGAUUAUCAGAGUCUGUCAUUGGACUCCUAGCAGUGAACUCUACUAGAUUGCCCGAUCAGAAUCUUAGAUAGAGUAAGUUCAUUCUUGGCUCAUUUUUCUUUGAGUUAGUUUUGAUUUGGUUAGGGUUGUCUUUUAGUUAAGUUUGCAUGUUAGGUUUUUAUCUUCAUAAUUAGUCUUUGUUAGAUCAUGGUCCUAGUGAUAUAGUUAGAUUUGUGAUCAAGACUUUGUGGUGCAGGUUAGGUUAUCCUUAAGCUUUUGGUGGGUUGGAGCUCUUAGUGAGCAUAUGCUCAAGUACAGGUAAGGGAAGCUAGUUUUAUUUUUAAAAUAGAACCCUAGGUUAGAAGAUCUGGAUGUGGGGUGACGUGGUCAUCAAUUCCAAUUUUUGCUUGCAGAAUUGUCUCUUUUGAAAAGUAAAGUAAUAUAUUGACUGGAAUGGUUGAUUUUGAAUCUUUUAUAUUGAUUUUAAGGUGAAUAAUUUGUUGAAAGUGUUUGUGAUUGAGAAGUGAAAUUGUUUGAAUGAUGAUAUAAAUGAGUUGAAUUGUUUUUUAAUAUUUACUUAAAUGAGAUGUUUGAUUUAGAGAGCAUAUAUUUGGAACUUAGUUAUGUGUUUAAUUGAAUUUUGAGAUAUAUUUGGAUUGUUUAGAAAGUUUAAAAUAUUUUGUGAUUAAAUGAUGCAUUGAUGUGUUAAAUUAUGUAUGUAAUGAGGUGAAAGUGUGGUCAAGACAUAGUAUUUUCAGGAAAGGAAAUACCGUGUUGAGAUUGUUAUUAGGGUGUAUUGAUUUGUAAGUGUCUUGUGAAUGAGACGAUCCUAACUCUACUGAUAUAAUGGAAUCACAUAGAUGAAGCUAUUCAGUUGGUGAGAGUCGAAGGAAGUUCAUUUGGCUGAGUCUGAGGUUUGAAAGAACUGAUCAGAGAAGAUCAAAUGGAUUUACCCUGUCAUAUGAGACGAUGAGAUAUUGAGAUUGAUUAUGCGCAUGACUGUGUGGAUUCAGUGAGUAGUAUGACAGGUGCAGGUCUCUGGAUGCUAAUUUCAAUACACGAGUCUUCUGGAAGUAUAGUCAAGUGUCUAUGUUUUGUGAGUCAGUAGAAGUCUAACAUGUGAAAGAUGAUUUAUUAAUUUUGAUAGACACUUGAUGGUUAUGUGAAAUGUUUAAGAAAUUGUAUGAGAGUUUAUAAAUUUUGUGUAUGAAUUUGAAAUUAAAUUAUAUAGAAAAAUUUGUUAUAGCUAGCUUACUCUGUUAUUUGUUUGUGUUUGUUUCUUUAUCUGUGAUGAUCGUGUUGUACACGGGAGCAGAUGAGAUUGCGGGUAAUAGAGCUCCUAAGUGAGCAGUUGGAGGAUGUGAUAGUUUUAAUUUGAAUGUUCUAUUUGUUUUUUUUUUAACUUUUGAUGUAUAUAUUAAAAUCCCUAUGAAGAGGGAUAUUUUUUUUUAGAUAUGAGAUAGUUAUAUAUAUGCAUAUCUUAAGGAGAUAACAUUUGUUUUACUUUUAUUUUAUUAUAUAUGGGGUAAAAGUUAGGGAUGUUACAAAGACACUUAUGUUUGACUAAAGCUUAUAAAAAUUAUGUUUUACAUUUUGUCUGGACACGGAAUUAAAACCAAAAAAAAAAAAAUCUAUUGAACUUUGAUCUAACAUGAAAUUUUAUGAUUUAAUUUCUAUAAUUUAAUUCAUUUUUAAAAGUUAUUUGUGUUUUAUCCAAAAAAAUAUUGAACAUAACAAACAAACCAAUUAGUUUUAACAAGCAAUAUAAUAAAGUAUAAGGAAAAUAACAAUUAAUAAAUUAAAAUUUCUAAAGAAAAGUAUAAAAAAAAACUAUUGAUUAUAAAAAAUAUUAAUUACAAAAAAAUUAUUCAAAAAAAAACUUCUAAUUCUAUCCUAAAUGUAAGAGAUAACAAAGAGUAAAAGAAAAUAUAAAAAAUUAGAUGAGAUAAGAUUGCAUUGAAUGCAUAUAAUUAUGACUUAUAAAAUUUUUAUAAAAUUAUUAAAUAAAAAUCAAUUUUAGAGAUAAAAUAUAUUUAGUUGUUAUACUGACUAAAUUAAAUAUUAUUAUUAUAAAAAUUAUUAGUCUUUAAAUUAAUUUCUAUUAGUGAUAAAUAAUUUUUAAAUUAAUAUAUAAUUAGAUACCAAAAUUUUAGAUGUUAACUUUAGAGUUUAAAUAAUUGGUAGUUAAAAUCUGGGUAACUAAUUAGAUAUCAAUUUAGAAAUUAUUUAUAAAAAGAAUAUAAACUAAUUCGAAACGGAUGAGAAAAAAAAAUGAAUGAGAGGUAAGAUAUGUAAGACAAACAAAUUUGGACCAAGGAAUUGUAGGAAGUUUUAAUCUUCUAAAAUCAUUUUUAACCUUGAUUCUAGUGUGUCAUUCUAAUUAGUUAAGUAAAAGGAGAGUGAUGCUAAAUUUUUUAUAUUAAUUUUAAUAAAUUUAUGUGUUUUAUUAGCCUUUUGUUUAUUUUCAAACUAUACCUUGUUUUACUUUCUUUAUUUUUUUAUACUCCUAUUAUUUACUUUUAUCUCAAGUUAUGCAUUUACUCUCUUUAUUUAUUUAUAAUUAUAUCAUUUAAUUUAUCUCUAGUUACAUACUAAUCUAUUUAUUAAUUUAUAGUCAUGUCAGUUAGUUUAUUACUAGAUAUUUCAUUUAGUUUAUUACUAGAUACACGCUAAUACUUUUUACUAGAUUUAUAAUUAUAUAUUAUGUUAUUUGAUUUAUAUCCAGUUACACUAGUCUAUUUUAUUAUAUUUAUAUUUGUAUCUUUUAGUUUAUCUCUCACUAGUCCUCUUUGUUAAAAUUAUGUCUAUAUAAUUUUAUUUAUCUUUAGUUUUACAGUGGUUUUUUUAUUUAAAUUUCUUGCUUUCAUUCUUAUUUCAAAUACUGGUUAUUUUUAAAAAUUCAAUCUAGAUCCAAUAAAAUGGAUUGGAUUAAAAUUCAAAUCCAUUUUAACAAGAUGAAAGUUAUUUGGAUUUUUUCAAAUCUAUUUAAAAAAGGUUAAAUCUAGAUUAAAUUCACUUUGUCUAUUAGAUUAAAUCCAUCUCGAUCUGAACAUAGACUGACUUAUCUUGACAUAGGCUCAAGCCGACUCGACUAGACCUAGACUUAGAUCAACUAGACUAGCCCUGAGUCAAGGCUGACUUGACUAGAUUUGAACUCUGACCGACUUGACUUGAUAUGGCCCAAGACGACUCGACUUCACCUGAGCUAGGAUCGACUCCACUCGACCUUUCACUCUGCAAAAAGAAAAAUUUGCAAAUUAAGAUAAAAACUAAAAAAAAAAAAACAAAUUUCAACUUCAAACAUAUCACAAUUUGACCAUAAACUAGUUGGUGGUAGGUCCAUAAACAAUUAAAAUAUUAACACUUUUUUGGAGAGUUUGGUGGUAGGUAAUAGAAAUAAAUCCUCUGUGUUGAUUAUGCGGAAGAACUCCUUGAAUGAUGAAAAGAACCUGUGAUGAGAAUGAUGCAGAGAUGAGAUGAAGGGAAGAUAAACCCUAAAAGGGUUGAAAGGUUCUGACCAGAGAAAAAAGCAAAAAAGUGAAUCGUAUUAUCAAAUUGAAUUAAGGGAGAGAAUACUGAAUUACAAAAAGGUACAAUCUGUAAAGUAAAAACCCACUAAAUCUAAGAUACAUGGUGACAGAAAUAAAAGAAGGCCCAAGGCUCCAAAGCCUAAACAACCCAAAAUAAUAAAAAAAUAUGCUAACUAACACCCCCCCCCCCUCAAGCUGGGAAUAGAUAUUUUGCAUUCCCAGCUUGGACUUGAGAGUAGUAAAGGUGGAAGCAACCAGUGGUUUAGUGAGGAUGUCAGCAGUUUGCAUGGAGGAAGUGAUUGGAAGCAGCUUGAGAAGACCAACAUUAAUUUUCUCUCGGACAAUAUGACAGUCAAUCUCUAUGUGCUUCGUUCGCUCAUGAAAAACCUGAUUUGAGGCAAUAUGAAUUGCUGACUGAUUGUCACAGAAUAGAAUUGCAGGUUCAAUGUAGGGGAUACCAAGAUCCUUAAGAAUGUAAGUCAGCCACUGAAUUUCACAAGUGGUUGCUGCAAGAGCUCUAUACUCGGCUUCUGAAGAACUUCUUGAGAUAGUAGGUUGUUUCUUGGACUUCCAUGAUAUAAGAGACUCACCCAAGAAAAUGGCAAAGCCAGUAACAAAUUUUCUGGUUUCAAAACAUGAGGCCCAAUCAGAAUCACUAUAGCCUCGAAGCUGGUUGUUACUGUUCUUGUGGAGAAAAAUUACCGAGCCAGGAUUACCCUUAAGGUACCUUAGGAUGCGAAAAACAGCUUGUUGAUGGUGCUUUGUAGGAGAAGAGACGAACUGACUUAAGUUGUUGACACUGAAGACUAUGUCAGGCCGCGUGUUGGUGAGAUAGAUCAGUCGUCCAAUAAGUCGGCGGUAGGUAGAUGAUUCUUUUUCAUUGAUUUGGACGUUGUCCGUGGAAGAAAGGCGAGAGGAAUGAGACAUGGGUGUAGGCAUGAGGGCACAAUCCAACAUUCCCGUUUCAUGAAGAAGAUCUAGAGUGUACUUUCUUUAACUGAUAUGUAAACCAGAUUUGUUGCGAGCCACUUCUAGUCCCAAGAAAUAUGCGAGGUCCCCUAAAUUUUUAAUUAUGAAUUGUUGAUCCAACAACUUAGUGAUAUGAGUGAUUUCCUCAUCAUCGUUUCCAGCAAGUACAAUAUCAUCCACAUACACAAGAAGAGCAGUGAGUUUAGUAUGAGUGUGUUUUAAAAAUAAUAAAUGAUCAGCAGAUGACAAUGUGUAAUUAUGUGAAAGCAAGAAAUUAGAUAAUUUGGCAUAUCAUUGUCGGCUAGCUUGACGAAGACCAUAAAGAGAUCUUUGGAGUUUGCAAACGUGGUUUGAUGAGGGGAGAGUGAGACCGGGUGGUGGCUGCAUAUACACUUUCUCAAGGAGAUCUCCAUGUAAAAAUGCAUUAUUGACAUUGAGUUGUUUGAGAAUCCAAUCAUUGGAAGCAACAACAGCAAGUAGUAGAUGCAAUGUUGUCAAUUUUGCAACAAGGGCAAAAGUAUCUAUGAAGUCAAGGCCUUCUAAUUGUGUGUACCCUUUGGCAACUAAGAGUGCCUUGUAUCGGUCAAUAGACCCGUCGGAUUUGUGCUUUAUCUUGUAAACACAACGACAGCCAAUAGUCGUCUUCCCAAGCGGAAGUGUGGUAAUCUGUCAAGUGUGAUUGGCAUCAAGUGCAGUCAACUCCUCUUGCAUAGCUUGUUUCCAGCAGGCAUGUUUCGAAGCUUCCCUGUAAGUGUGAGGCUCUGAAUGGGAAGAGAUAGAAAGAAUAGUGCAUUUAAAAGCAGGAGAUAAAGAUUUAUAAGAAACAAAAUUAUUAAUGGGAUAUUUAGUACUUACACUGUUUGUGGUUGUCAAAUCAGUUUGAAAAUCUGCAAGGUAUGCUGGUGCCUUUCUUUGUCUAUUUGAUCUCCUCAGUGGUAUUUUCAGAUCAUCAAUUUGUGUAUCAUCCAGGGUCUCUUCAUUUUGGUUAGGAUCCAUGUCCACAUCAAUUUGUGCAGUACCCAUAGUUUCAUGAGGAUGACAGUCAUUUUGAAAAGUAAUAUCACUACUUGAAUCAUAAUUGUGAGGAAUAGGCAAAGAAAGGUUGUUGGAAUUCAUACAGGAAUCUUUGUUCAAAUGAUAUGGAAAAUGGUUUUCAUAAAAGAUAAUAUUCCUUGAUACCUCAAUACUAUGAUUUUUAAGAUUUAGAAAAAUAUAUCCCUUUGUGUUGGAAGACAAACCGAGAAAGAUACCAUGCACAGAACGAUCAUCAAGUUUCUUUCUAUGUGCAGUGAGCGUGCUAGAGUAACACAAACAUCCAAAUACGCGUAAAGAAGAAAGAUCAUAUUGAUGAGAAUCAAAUAAAGGAGGCUUUUAUUAAAGAAGGAAGAGGUCAUUCACCUGCACAUUUGAAGUUUUUCCUUCUAGUCUUCUCAAAAUUAAAAGAAGACAUAAAAUAAAUAAAAGAAAUACAUAAAAUAAAGAUGAGGCCCAAGCCCAAGCCCAAGAAGGCCAAAGCCCAAAAAGCCCAAGUCCAUCCCAUGAGGGGCAAGGCCAAGCAUUAAAUAAAAGAGCAUCAUUUGAUUUACUCUUGUAGGAGGUGUGGAUAUUAAAUAAAGGAGUGUGAAUAUGUAAAAGAAAGUCACAUUGUCCAUGUGACUUAAGAGAAUAGGUGUAGGUGUAGUUUUUAGGAGGUGUCAUAGUAGAAAAAGGUCACACCUUCCAUGUGACUUGUUUUUUGUGGGAAUUUCAAAUGAGUUUCAUUUGAAUUUUCUCACCUAUUUUUCAACACCCUCACACUAUAAAUAGAGGUGUGGGCUCUUGUAAAAUUCAGAUUGGAAAUUGGCUAUAGAGAAACUCUACUCAAAUUGAGAGAGAAUUGUGUGAGAACUUUGUCUUCUCCUCUACCUUGUCUUAUCUUGAGUGCCUUGGUUCUCUCAAGUGGCGGCAUUUGCUCACUUAUCUUGGAGCCUUCACACUUCAAGUGGCGUGACCAUUAACCAAGCUCUCCAUCCUCAUAAGUUCUUCUCUCCUUCAUCUUUUCAUUUCAUUUCCAAGUUCAUCCGAUUUCAAAAACAUGUUUAGGUUCUUUCUAUUCGGUGUUUUAAGCUUAAAUUCUUGUACUGUUCGGUUCUUAUACUUUUUUGCUGGAUUCAAUUGUUUCUUCUUCAUUUCUUCUUAAUUUGUUUGGUGCAUUUAAGUUCUUAAGCUUUUUAAUCGGUGCAUUUGCUUUCUUGUUCAAUUUAGUCGGUUCAAUUGGCAAGAAAUGGGUCUUCCAUGUGAGUUUGGUGUUUGGUGCAAGUUUUGGUGAGUUCUUGAAACAUAGAACAUUGAUCCAAUUCUAUUAAAAGUGCCUAUUCAUUCUCCAACUCAAGUUGAUUCCAUAAAAUAUCAAAGAAUCAUUUACAUCUUGCUAGUGGAAUCAUAUCACAUAUGGUCUACCAUUCAAUUUUUCAUAGGGUGCAAUGUUGUGUAACAAAGGAGUGGGAGUGCAAUUGAUUAAAAAAAUAGCAUGUUGUACAACAAAAUUCCAGAAUAAAUGAGGUAAAUUUGCUUGAAAAAACAAGGCACGGGUAACAUUUAAAAUGUGUUGAUGUUUUCUUUCAACAAUACCAUUUUGUUCAGGUGUUUCUACACAUGUGGUUUGAUGAACAAUGCCUUUAGAAGAAAAUAAUUUUUUCAUGGCAAAUUCAGCACCAUUGUCAGUGCGAAUAGUUUUAACCGUAGUUUUAAACUGAUUUUCAACGUAAGCAAUGAAAUUAACAAUAUGAUUUCUAACUUCAGAUUUUGUGUGUAAAGAAAUAACCCAAGUAAAACGUGAAAAAUCAUCCACAAUGGUUAAAAAAUAUCUAAAACCGUGCAUUGAAAUGACAGAACAAGGACCCCAAAUGUCCAUAUGCAGUAAUUCAAAGAUGCUAGCAGUAUGAGAUUUACUUAAAGUAAAAUGGAGUUUCUUUUGUUUGGCACGAUGACAUACAUCACAUACAUGCGGUUUUAUAGUGCCACAGAUUAAUGUCUUUGACAGUAUAAUUGAAAGAAUGAGCAAUAGUGUGUGUAGCAGUAUUACGAAAAAAAGAAGAUUCAAAAGCAUACAAGCCAGCUUUGACACUAACUAUACCAAUCCUCUCUUUGGUUGUAUUGUCCUGUAUCAUAUAACUAUUGGAGGAGAAAAUUAAACUGCAGUUCAUAUUUAAAGAAAUUUUAGAAGUAGAUACAAGAUUAAAGGAAAGUCGAGGAACAUAUAAGACAUCAAUGAGGUAAAAUUUGUGAUUAAAAAUCACAGUUCCAGAAUAUUUUGCAAACACAUGAUGGCCAUUAGGUAGACUAAUAGAAAUAGGUUUAAUGCUUUUGUACGAAGUAAACUCAGAUAAAGAAGAACACACAUGAUCAGUUGCUCCUGAAUCUAGAAUCCAAUAAUUUCUACCAUGUUGUAAAUUAUUUAAGGUAAGAAUAUUACCAGUUGAAGACCUCUCUGCCAUUUUAUGAUUGGUGUCUGCAGUGAACGAGCCCACCUGAUUUACUUGAAUAUUGGUUGCAGUGUUAUUGUUGGUGCUUUGUCUAAACAAAUCUGACAAAACUUGAUAUUGUUGUGUUGUGAGGUGAUAUUCUCCUUUUUCUUGUUCUUUUUGGCAAGGCUCAGAAAGCACAUCAUCAGAUAUAACAAUAUUAUUAACCUGAUUGGUUUUACUACCAUAAAACUUGUAUCCAGGAGGAUACCCGUGUUUCUUGUAGCAAGUUUCUAUGGUGUGACCAUUUCUUCCACAGUGAGUACAUAUUUUCUUAUUCCCAUUAUUUUUGAAGGACUUAUUUUCUUGAUUAGGAAACCCAACCUUCCGAAAACAAACGUUCUCUGUAUGGCCAUUUUUACCACAAAAGGUGCAUAUCACAGAAGAAGAGAUGUGAUUAGAAUUAGCACUAUUAAUAUUUGAGACAGAAAGUUGUUGGCAGUUGACGUUCUUGUUGCACCACAAGAGAAAAAAAAAUUGUUAUAGGAGGUAUAGGCUCCAUAAGAAGUACAUGAGAUUUUAUGUUAUGAUAUUGUUCAUUUAACCCCCUUAGAAACUGCAUGGCCUGGUCUUCACAUUUUCUUUGAUUGAUAAGAGAAGUAAAAGCAAUAGAGCAAGAACAUUUUGUCUCACAAAUGCAUACAAGAUUAGGUCUAAAGUUUUCUAGUUCAUCCCAAAUUAUUCUCAGCUUAGUGAAAUAGUCAGUUACAGUCAAUUCACCUUGAUGUAAAAAAGCAACUCCCAUUUGUAAAUAUGAAAUUCUAGAUAAAUCCCCCUGAGAAAAUCUACUUUUCAAAUCAUUCCAUAUAUCUAAAGUUAUACCCAUCCAUACGAUGCUUUGUCUAAUGGGAAUAGAGACAGAAUGGACUAACCACGAGACGACCAUAUUGUUGCAUCUGUACCAAGCCGAGUAAGUGGGAUGGUUCUUGAGCGGACAUGGGCAUGUGCCAAGGACAAACUCCACCUCAUUUUUUGCGCUCAACGCCGUUAUAAUCGACAUACUCCAAGAGUGAUAGUUUGUAGAGUCCAACGCUGGCGAGACCAAAGGGACAACAGGGUUCUCACUGGGAUGGAGAUAAAGGCAGUUGUUCAUCAAGUUCAAUUGUUCCACCAAUUGAUUUGUUGCAUUCGGCUGAGACAAUUGCACCGUGGUUCCUUCAGUUCCAGCGGUUUCAGCCAUAUCUGAAAGAGAAACAAAAAAUUCAAGAUUUGGAACAAGAAAUCGUGAAGAACGAAAUUCAUAGAAGAAGACGAAAUUCAGAGUGCACAGCAGUGCUCUUCAAAGAAGACCUCUGAUACCAUAAUAGAAAUAAAUCCUCUAUGUUGAUUAUGCGGAAAAACUCCGUGAAUGAUGAAAAGAACUUGUGAUGAGAAUGAUGCAGAGAUAAAGGGAAGAUAAACCCUAAAAGGAUUGAAAGGUUCUGACAAGAGAAAAAGGAAAAAAAUGUGAAUCGUAUUAUCAAAUUGAAUCAAGAGAGAGAAUACUGAAUUACAAAAAGUAAAAACCCACUAAGAUGGCGACAGAAAUAAAAGAAGGCCCAAAGAGCCCAAAAUAAUAAAAAAAUAUGCUAACUAAUAGUAGGUCCGUAAACUAUUAAUAUAUUAAUACUUCUGAAGAGUUUGGUAGCGCACGUUGUCGGGACCCAAACAUAAAAUAUUAGAUUUUUAACUACCUUCUUCUCUUCCUUGAUCACACAACAGCAACCACUUACUAUUCUGGGAUCCAACACAACAAAAAAUGUCUGUUCCUGAAGCUGGUGUUCAUGUGGGUUUCCUCUCAAGUGCUGGCAUGGGUCACCUCAACCCAUGUCUGAGACUAGCAGCAGUGUUCCUCCGCCAUGGUUGCAAAGUCACUCUCUUCACUCCCAAACCCACUCUCUCUCUCGCUGAGUCAAACCUCAUCUCUGCUUUUUCUUCUUCUUUCCCUCAAGUAACUCACAUUCACUUCAACCUCACCCCUUUGGAUCCAANNNNNNNNNNNNNNNNNNNNNNNNNNNNNNNNNNNNNNNNNNNNNNNNNNNNNNNNNNNNNNNNNNNNNNNNNNNNNNNNNNNNNNNNNNNNNNNNNNNNCAUUCGUCGUUCGGUUCACCUUCUAUCUCCAACCCUAUCUUCUCUUUCCACUUCUCUCUCAGCUUUCAUCGUCGAUGUUUUCUUAAUUUCCCCUAUCGUCUCAAUUGCUCACAAACUCUUUUGCCCCGUUUUCAUUUACUUCACCUCCUCAGCUAGAAUGUUGUCUUUCAUUGCAUACGUUUCUGUUCUUGCUGAUUCCGAUCCGGCUGCACAACCGCACCCUUCUACGUUCGUUGGUGAUGCUGUUCAAAUCCCGGGUUUCACAUCGCCAAUACCAAGAUCAUCGGUCCCUCCCGCUUUUCUUCUUCAAGGUGGCAACUCCUUUCAGAGAAUGAUCAUGGAAGACAGUUGCAAACUCACGAAGCUCGAUGGGGUUUUCAUCAACUCGUUUGAGGAACUGGAAGGAGAGGCACUAGCAGCGUUGAAUGAAGGAAAAGUGGUUAGAGGGUUGCCCCCGGUGUAUGGAAUUGGCCCCUUAAUGGCGUGUGAGUUUGAGAGUGUAGAUCAAGGUCAAAGGGGUUGCAUGAGUUGGAUACUGGAGUGGCUUGAUGAACAAGCUGAAGGGUCUGUGGUGUAUGUUAGCUUGGGGAGCAGGACUGAGACAAGGAAGGAGCAGAUAAAGGACAUGGCUUUGGGGUUAACAGAAUGCGGGUAUAGUUUUUUGUGGGUGGUGAAGUUGAAGAAGGUUGACAUAGAAGAGGAGGAGGGUUUGGAGGAGGUGUUGGGGAGUGAGUUGAUGAGUAAGGUNNNNNNNNNNNNNNNNNNNNNNNNNNNNNNNNNNNNNNNNNNNNNNNNNNNNNNNNNNNNNNNNNNNNNNNNNNNNNNNNNNNNNNNNNNNNNNNNNNNNNNNNNNNNNNNNNNNNNNNNNNNNNNNNNNNNNNNNNNNNNNNNNNNNNNNNNNNNNNNNNNNNNNNNNNNNNNNNNNNNNNNNNNNNNNNNNNNNNNNNNNNNNNNNNNNNNNNNNNNNNNNNNNNNNNNNNNNNNNNNNNNNNNNNNNNNNNNNNNNNNNNNNNNNNNNNNNNNNNNNNNNNNNNNNNNNNNNNNNNNNNNNNNNNNNNNNNNNNNNNNNNNNNNNNNNNNNNNNNNNNNNNNNNNNNNNNNNNNNNNNNNNNNNNNNNNNNNNNNNNNNNNNNGAAUGCUCAAGUCACCUGAGCAUUAUCACUCAAUACUAUUUUGCCUAUUCACAGUAUUAAGUUAAGUUUACGUGUGAAUUUGAAUUUAUGUCAGAAAGUAAUGCAGUAGUAACCUCAACUGCAUAAAAUAGUAUGCAAACAUAUACUCAAACUGUAAUUUGUGGUUACAUUUCCAAUUUGGUUUAGUGUUUAUUUUGGGUGUUUGGUUUAGUGUAAUUUGGUUACAUUACCAAAUUUGGUAUAAUGUAAUAAAAUCGGAGUUUACAUCUUAGGAAAGAUUUUUCCUUAGAAGUAAAUAUUGACAAGGAGAAACUAGAAACUUUAAAAAGACUCCAAAUAGAAGACUCUUUCUUUAUUCACUGUCGUUGUGUUUGGUUAUUAUAGUUAUGUUUGGUUAGGUAUAUGUACUAUUGAACUGAAUUUGGAGGUUGAGAAAAUGGUUGUACUCUUCAUGUUUGGUUGGAUAUAUUUGAAGUGAAAUGCAUAGAAAAAAAAAAAUGUGUGGAAAGUGGGACAUGGUGAAUGAUUUACGUACUUAAUUCUUACAUGGUUGAAGAAGAAUGUGGACAUGCAUGGUAACAUGACUAUUUUGAUACUUAGGUUAGUCAUUCAUCAUUUAACAUGUUUUAUGUGGAGUUGUGCAUGUGGCUUCAUGAACACCUAUUUUCACAAAAAAUUUCCAUGCUCCAAAUUAAAUAUAUAAAUAUGAUACCUUCAAUUAUAAUAUUGAUUCUCCC